UCCCAUAGUAGGUUUUAUGUUCCAACCACCAUAGAUGUAAUCUAAUUCCAAUCUAUUGGCCCAUAUAAUAUUGAGCAUUGGAGAUGGCUAUCAACUGUUGUCAUAUAGGCAAGCAUAGAAUUACAAUACUUAUUAGGUGGUCUACUAUUCUUAUAUAUAGAAUUUAUUGUAUCAAUCCUUCUGCUUAGGCCGCAUAUAGCUGAGUUGGAUAUAUUUUAUGGUUAUUCAUGGCAAUGAAGAUCAGCUUUGUUUGUUUAAAAAAAAAAAAAAAAAAAAAAAAGUUAAAUGAGGUGAAACCAACUAAUUAGUUAUAAUUAGUUCCAAAAAAAGAGGAUAAAUCUUUUUUCUUUCUUUUAAUUGGCUAUUUUUAUUUUUGAUUAAUUAAAGGUGAAGAUUUAAUUUUUAAAAUGUGUUCUUUAAUAUUCCUAAUUCAUUUAAAAUUAUAUACUUUAUUCAAGAUUUUUGAAAUGAUACAAUUUUAAAAAAUAAAUGUUAUACUAACCAUUCCACACAUGGUUGGAUUAAACAGACAAAUUCCCAAAUAAAUCCUCAACUUAGAUUUAUGAUGAAUAUUGUCUAACAAAUUUUUAUUUGUAGUUGGUCUAGUUUAGAUUAGAGAUUUUAUGCAUGUUCACAAUUGGGUAUUGUAUAACAAAUUUUUAUUAAUUGUGGAACUUGUCUAGGUUUUCUGUGGGUCAAGUUGUGUACAUGAAUACAGAUAUUACAUUGUAAAGUACUAAAUCAGUCAUAAAUAAAUAUGAAAUCAACACAUGCACGUUUGUAUGCCUUUGCAAUGUUUUUCAAAAGCUAUGGAUUAUAUUUUCUAAAUUUAUCUUGAUAUUUUUAAAGUUGAAUAUGAGUUCAAAACAAAAAAAUUAAACAACAUUUUUUUUUUUUUUUUUUGUUUUUUGUGACUGAAUAGACUUGGCUUCAUCAAGAAAGCACAAUUCAAUUUUACAUUAUACCAAUGCAGCCUCGACGUCGCCGGAUCGAACCUCGCCGCCGGCAUCGACGUUAUUGCUGUGCCAAACGGUAGUCGUCCGAUGGUCUUCAGAACGGCAAUUGUAAGCCGUCCGAUCCGCAUCCACGUAGGGUAUUUAGGCUUUUUGAAAUGUUUUUUUCCCUCCUUCAUCGUCGUCUUCAAUUAUCUACACAUUGUGUGCCAACAAUCCAGAGUCAGAAUUGCUCGUUGAUUCGAAGUUUGCACGGUUGCGCUCUUGGCAUUGAAAUUCAAGCAGAGAGGGUUGCGUAGGAAUCAUCCAGCCAUGUGUUGGAUUCUAGAGCCAAUCUGUAAGACAGACUUUUUCUUUUUCUUUUUCUUUUUUAUUUCUUUUUUUCUAACAUUCUUGUGUAAUUUUCCGUGCUCUGAUUUAUUUAUUUUGGUCAUUCGAGUCGUAGAGGACACACUCUGAAGCUUUGAAUGCGGCUUGGUUAGGAGAGUAGCAACUGAGGCUAAUGCUACGCUGUGGAUGCUGGUUCUUCGCUUCGAGGUAGGCAGGUUGGUUGUUUGUGGUUCUAGAUUUUUGUUGCAUCUCAUGUGCAUGUUUGAUCCUAUCUCGAGAUGUGUGCAGAUGGAUUUGGUUGCAGUAGAAACUUAACCCUACAGUCUUGGAUUGCAAUUUUGUUUGGGUAUUCGUUAUUUAGUACCAUUUUGUGGAAGGAUUUAGAUUUUGGCAGCGAGACGGGAGGUGGGUUGGUUCUCGUAAUUCUUAUUGUUUCGUUUCGUGUUCCUCUGCUGCUUAGGAUUUAGUGUAUGUAGUAAGUACUCGAAGCGUAUUGAAGUUUCGUUGUGUGUUCAAGUACAAGUUGAUAGGUUGUUACAGGAUUUGUAAAUUGUUUGAGUUUGUUUGUUGUGUUUUAAUAAUUUCAGUGUUUUUUUUGCUUUAUUGUCGACGAAGGAUACUCUCAUUAUCACCACUUCCGCAGAUGAUUAGAUUAGUCAGUGCGUCAUAAUGCUCAGUACAUGGUGGUGGGGUUUCUUGUUUUAUUCAGGAUGUUUGCAGGAAUUUUUGUUUUUCUGGUCUGAGGAAGUUUUGGCAACUGAAAUGAGAAUUUGAAGCUAUAAUCGCUUUGGAGACUUAUCUUUCUAGUGAUGCAUCGAAUGCUUUUGGAGAAGUUAUUCGUUUACAAUACAUGGCUGGAUUCCUGCGGCGAUAUGUUACUUCUUUACAGGUGAAGCCAUUACAUUGACGUGCAUAGACUCGAUGGCUGAUUCGCUAGAAAAAAGUGGUGUGGAGAUCGAGCAUGAAGCAAGGCUUUUUGACAAAGUUACAAGCGAGAAAAUCCCCAAUAGACGACCUGAGGGUGGCUGUGAGGAUGUGACUUGCACGAAUCUCUACAAAGGACCUCAUGUUGACAGUUCGGAGGAAGGAAAUUGUUUUGUUGGAGUGGAGACCGGAAAGUGUAUUUCAGAAGCGCAACUGGUUAAGACCGACACAGAUCAAUUUUCAUGUUCUAUUGCAGAGUUGGAUAUUCCCAAUCAUGGGGGAAAUGCUGCGACGCGAUUGGAGGGAAUAGUUGCACGGGUAGAGGGAAUUGACAGUCAGGGUGUCUCUGUAGUGGCGGGUCCUAUUGGGGACCUUGACUUAGAAGAUGUGUCGUCUGAGUGUUCCCUUCUUCCUGGUAUCAGCUCUCACUGCUUUGGGAACGAUGAAGAACCACGUCGAAGGCAUGAAGUUGAGCACACUGUUGAACAGCUCCACCCUGGUGCUAGGAGCACCAUUUGCCAUCAAAACAUCUGCAAGACGCUCGAAGAUUUCGUGCAUUCCAGUUCGACUUUAGAUACCCAAUCUUGCCAUCGAGGGGUUUCUCAGAAUAGUGAAUUUGGUAUCGGAAUUAGAGAGGGUGCUGUGACAGGGACUGUAACAAAGGAAUUGCUCGACCAGGACUCCUGUGUGCCGCACCCACCAGUCUUCCAAUCUCAACGUACCCUAGCCUCUGACGCUGCAAAUAUUCGUGCAUGUGAGGGAUUUUUGGUUACUGAUGACGAGUCGUCGUUGACUUCCAAUUACCCUCAAUUGGUAGACGUUUUUGUGCGUGACAAAACAGACGCGAGGGUUGGAAAUGAAUUUGCCCUCGAAUUAGGGUUGCAGGAAAGGGCGGACAAUUUUGAUGUGCACGGAGUGUUGGCGAACUACGAAAGCAGUCUCGGGGAUUGUCAAAUUCAUAUUUUGACAGAGCAACACACAGGACCAACCACAUCUAUGGACGAGGUAGUUCGCAUCGAUGAAAAUCUCUCCAAAGAAGUUGAGACUGGGCAGACCGAAGAGAACCAAGCACAAGGAGAGCUCAUAGAAGUCGACAACGACAGCUCAAGCGCUGCUGACAUUGAUGAAAUUGGUAUGCGGCUCUUAAAACUUGAUUUGGCAAAGGACGAGUCGACGUCGUACCGAGUUGAUCAACAAAAACAUCAUUUUGGAAAGGGAACUGGUGGGAACCUUGUAUGUACCCUAACGACAUUCAUCAAUUUCUGCUGGUAUUUAUGUCUAGCAAGUUAUGCGAGACAUUUUUAUCGGUGCCAUUUCUUGCUGUAAGAUGGAGCACGUUCUUCAAAAGAUAAUCUUUGUUGUUAGUUUUUGUCCUUCUGUAUGAUUUUCCUUGUGGUAUAUCCACGAGCGUAACCUGGUGUUGGCUACCAUUCAAUUAGAUGUUGAUGUCCAUAGAAUUCUUAAAAGGCAUGUAUAAUAGGUGCUCCAUUGUUGCGGGUUAUGUCAGUUGCUGCCUUCUGGGUUUGCAUGGGACUUCCGUAAUCAGUUUACUCUGCUGUAAAUCGUAAGCAGUUGAUAUAUGCAACAUCAGUCGAUGCUGUUAAUGCAUGCUAGUGAUCAGUGCAGGGUAAGGAGGAGUCUUACAGUGAAAUUAUGAUUAUGGUUAUGCCAAACAGGCUGGAGUUUUUACACCUUUGCCGCCGAAAGCAGAGACACAAGUAAAGAAUGCUAUGAUGCGUCCUAAAUGGUGAAUUGAACGCUUCCUGUCGAACUGAUAUAGGCCCUGUUCUUUAUGAACAAAAAUUGUGAGCUUGUUUGGAAAUGAUCUUGAUAUCAGCCGAUUUCAGGGUUCUGCUUUGUUUAAAUAUUGCCAUCUGUUUAGCGUGGUUUUGCAUCUUGUUGCUUCUUAUGCCACAACUAUAGGUAAGUUUUUUGUACGUUGACUCCUUAAGCCAUGCUAAUUUUCAAGGGAUAGCUAGGGUUCAUUCUCCCAAUCUUUGACGACAUCACUUCCUUUCAGGAGUACGGUUCUUGUGUUUCACAAGGGCUCCAACAUAGAAGUGACAGGAGAGAUCCUCCAAUGCUUAUUGCCAGGUUCCUGGCUUAAUGACGAAGUAAGCAAAUGCUCUUUCCUGAAAACCACUUAAAGUUCAUAUUUUUACAGCUUGGUUGUUCCGAAAAGACACGAAGUUGCUCAUCUUGAGUUGUCUCAUCAUGCACAAAAGUGUUUCUUUGACAAGUACUUGUUUGAUUGAUUAUUCUUUCUUGGUCUUGAGAGCUGUAGAAGGGUUUGGUUUUGCAUUUUUUUUUGUCUUCAUCCCAAAUCUCGUGUCUUGCAAAUUAUUUAGUAUCCUUACCUAAUAUCCUUAUCACUAUGUAGGAACAUCUGAUGAUUGAUAUUGCCUGUGCAGGUUAUUAAUGUGUAUAUGGAGUUGCUGAAAGAACGUGAGUCGAGGGAGCCAGAGAAGUUCUUAAAAUGUCAUUUUUUCAAUUCGUUUUUCUAUAAUAAGGUACAGGUCCAUACUCAGCCUUUUCAGAGAUCUCUACUUUGAGGUGACUGUAAAAUGAAAUAGUAAAAAAUGAUUCUUCUAACGAACAUCAACUAGAUUGUGAAUGCAAAUAGUUCAAUCGGCAGUGCUCAAUUAUGAUUUUCUGUUGGUCAACAGUUGUAAGGUCAAUCACUUAAAUGGUACUGUUUGUAUAAUAAAUUUUUAAACAGGACUGGACAUCUAAUUUAGACUUAAUGGCAGCUUUUCAAGGAUGCUCAGAGUUAUGACUACCAAGCCGUUCGGAGGUGGACUACGCAGAAAAAGCUCGGUUACAACCUUCUGGAAUGUGACAAGGUUAUUGUCACACUGAAGGCUCAUGUAGCUGUUCUCUUUUGUUGAAAUUCAUUUCUACUGGCUUUUUUACAUCAGCCGAAAUAUUCUGUGGAGGUUUAGAUUUGCAGUUGUCCUGGAUGAUGAAGAUGACUUUGUUGAAUUUACUGAUCGUCUGCCUAAAUGUGAUCUUCGUUUGUGAUAAAAGAAAUUUUGGUUUGCCAGAUCUUGGUACCUGUCCAUCAGAGCGUGCACUGGUGUUUAGGGGUAAUUGAUUUGCGAAGGCAAAAACUGCUGUACUUAGAUUCCCUUCAAGGGAGAGAUCCGAAUGUUCUAAAUUCACUUGUAAGUUCACUACAUCCUCUUUGAUCCUACAGCUAGUUCAGGUUCAUUGCAAGUCAGUAAUCAUGAGAUGAUUUUGCCAAAGUUACAAUGCAUCAGUGUAAGGAUAAUACUUGUUUUCCUUUUGGAACUUUAUUGCCUUCCAACUCUGCUACUUGCUAACUUGGAUUUGUAGUGUUCGAUGUUCGAGCGUGUUGGCAUGGAACCUUUGGAAUGAAAACUUGUACUGUGCACAAGCUGACUUGAUGACAAUUGCAUUGGUCUUAGGCUCGAUACAUUGUGGAUGAGGCACGAGAAAGGGGAGGUCAGGACUUGGAUGUCAGCAAGUGGGAGCAUGUCUAUGUUGAUGAUAUUCCCAGACAACUCAAUGGGUACAUGUGUAUUUCCCCAUAUUAAGAGUAGCAAGUUUUUAUUUAGACCAAAAACCUUAUCAUUGAAUAGUGUUUCGUACAUCGUCUUUAUAUGUCCUCUUUGUCAUUAAGGUUGUUGCGGCUGGGUUUGUUUGUUGUCUUGCAGGUGCGACUGUGGCAUGUUCAUGUUGAAAUAUGCUGAUUUUCACAGCCGUGGGGCCUCGUUAAGCUUCACUCAAGUGAGAUUCUGUCUGCUUUUUUCCAUCUUCAUUUGAAACUUAGAAUCGCAUAUAAUAAGUCGGCCCAGUUUGUGAAUUCGCGAAGUGGGAUGCAGCUCAUGAUCUGACUCGGGGUUAUUUCAGAACUGAAAAAGCCAAUGCCGAAGUGUCAUAUUAUCAUAUUCACCAGCUAUUAGUAGAAUAUUCUGACGGGUCAUUCAUUUCAUGUUCCCAGUCCAGUAUGAAUUACUUUCGGAGGAGGACGGCCUGGGAGAUUCUUCAAUUGAAAGCGACGUAGUCAUCCAAACGUCAAUCUAGUGUACAUGUCAAUUAAAAUUAACAAUAACGUUGGUCGUCUUCUUUGGAACUGAAAAGGUGAGCAAUAUGGUUGGCUUCAUGUAGUUCGGAGCAGUGGCUACUACUGCAUUAGAUUAUGCAAUGCUUGUGGUUUCACAUUUUGCAUUUGGUUCCUUAAGUACAAAACAAUUAUUUUCCAUUGGCAUAUAGGUGCUAUCUCAUUGUGUUUAUUUGUACUGCAGAGCUCCGUGCGUUCAGAUUGAGAGUGGUUUGUAUUUCUGUAAUCAAUUAUUUGAGCCAACUCUUUCGUGAGGCGCCUUUAGUGACAUAAGGCACUGUUUCCAGAAACUUGAAAAACAAACAUCUUCAGAGGCGUUUUAUUCAGUAAUCGUCCACUUUGACUAAAUUACAUUCCGUUUUAUUUUUCUGCUUUCCGAUUGCCUCAUGAUUCGGCCAAUGCAACUACCUACAGACUUUUGACGAUGUUAUUCCAGGUCUCCGAUGUUUCAGAGCAUCGACAUACACCAAUUCGGCAUAUUCUAGGCCUGCAAUUCUCUGCUAGUAAAUAUCUGUUGGGAUUUUGAAUUUUUGAUGGUAGGGAUGGCUCUGAAGGUACGAUUUCUGCAACCCUCUGGAACAUGCACCGGACAUCUUUCUCCUGAGCAGAACGUGUUGUAUGCCGCUUCACCUUUACACUCUGAUAGUAUUCCUUUGAUGUGCUCUUCUAGAAUCGAAAACAUGUUGACAGGGUGAAGCUAUAAUUUUAGUUAAAUCUCCUUGUUUCGCCUAACUAGCUGGUGUUAAUGACCAUUCCGGUAAACAAUACCACCAGAAAAGGAGUGUUCGUGUUACGAUACACAGCUGUCCUUUCAUGCAUUGUAGCGAAUCGAUUGAUUGUUACCUUUGUUGUUCAAUGAACGUCAGGAAUAGGAGAUGUUAUAGCCGGCAUAUGUGCCGGUGUUGUUCAACUUUUUUAGAGCUUAAUUUCAAGUAGAAUAUACUUAGUGUGCCAUUUUGUUGAUUUCCAAGAAUAAACCCAUUUCCAAGGCAUUCUGUCACAAACACCAUCCCAUCUAGAUGUGUUCUUGACUUGUGCACAGUAGGAGCUAACUUUCAACCACACUCGUCACUGCUUAGACUGGCAUCCCAUGAGUAACUAAAUUUCAAUUUGAAGGGCAAAGUAUACUUGGACAUUGGAUAGAUGCAUGAACUCUGCUCUUUUUCUCGACUACAAUCACAGUCCGCAAUAGAAGUUGGCGUGAUAAAAGAUAUCUGCUUCGACAAUUUGCAUAUCCAAUGUCAAAAUGAGAACCCUUUUGCUUAACUAAGCAUCUCAUGGAAUGAUGGACCUAGCUGGCAGUUGUUUUCUAUGACCGAUCUAACCCAACUCACUGUGCUUCACGAACUAUAUGUUUCCAAAAAUGUACAAGUUUGACGUCCAGGGGAUCCUUCAAUCUCCAGCAAACGCCAGCCCUAUUCCUUGCCUUGGAACAUGCGUGGAGAACUUCAGUAUUGCUGCGGGACUCACGAUAGAUCAGAGAGCAACCUCAUGAGGCUGCAAACUCUUCGAUUGCAUGACUACCUGCAGGUGGAUACGAUUCCAAUCGUUCCAAUCACACUUGUUGGAAUGUUGUACUCACCCAGAGCAGUAGUCGUCGGAGGUGGGAUUUGCGUUAUUAGCCUGUACGCAGGGAGUGUCCAGGUUCCUCCAUUAUGGGCUACGGCGACUGGAUUCAGCGGCCUGAUGAUUUGUAGAGGUGGACGGCCCCGAGACUUCGCCAGACUCUACCGUGGUGAUAGUUAUUGACUCGCUUUCACUCCCUUCAAUCGCGUCAUCAAUCACCGUCGCUUUUGGUGGCACUGUCGCGCUUUGCAUGCCGGUGCCUUUUGAACUCUGUGUAGCUCCCACGUCUUGGUUCAUUGGGAGCUGGUUGGAGGCGUCAUCAGAUUGAACGUUCAAGUGAUACACGACCUGGUUGCCCGCACGCACGCUCUCGCUAGCGCUGGCGGAGGAACCCAAGCUCCUCUGGGUCAUGGGGGCUUUGCCUAACCGGUGUUGCCUCACAUCCGCAGGAUCAUCCUCAUGACUAGGGGGCAGGGAGCUAGAGCUUGGACCGCUAGGGUCAUGGAACGAGUGGCUGGGUAACGAGCUGGGCUGACCCAUGUCACGGGGCUGGCUCGUAGAAGCACCGCCAAUUUCCAUCGGGUGUGCUCCAGCCGAUUGGGAUGGCUGAAACGAACCCUCAGAAGAUCGACCUACAGAUUGUGGAUCGAUAACGAGAGCGUCGCUACGCGUCCUGACCAGUCGAGCGCGCCUUCUAAUGGAGGAAACAGAUGGUGGGAUCAAAUUGAGGGUGGCUCUGCUUUGCAUGUGAGUGGAAUCGUCCCGGGAGGUUGGAGACGCUGCUGGUCGCUGCACAACAUACCGAAUCUGCUGUAGCACUUCAUUCGAAUGAGUGAGACGGAAUACUAACUCUGCACACCAGAUCGCGGAGGACGAUAAGUAAAGGGCAUUGGUCAAGUUUACGCAAGAUCUUCAUGACAGGACGCGAAGGGAGACCAUGAAGUUAUAUUUUUGAUGGUCAUCUCGUUGAAUCGAUUCUUGGCCCACACCAUGGAACGAGAUCGGCCCAGGGAUCUCUGACCUACCUGAGAGCAUUGGAUUUGGAGCGGUAAACUGGGGCCAGCCGAAGACCCACCGCAUUGUCCCGGCUGAAGCACACCCUGUCGAAAUUCAGGUUGCAUGCCACCCCGUUGUAACGAGGGAUCCAGUGGGACGAACCCAGGCACGUUGGCGUUGGGAUUAUAUCCAGGGGCUCGCCACCUGAGGUGAUGGAGGUUGCUACGGGAGGUGGUGGAAGCGAGGUGGUAAUGGGGAGGCGAAGGCUGCGGGAUCAUGGGUCGCAUGGUCGGGCUGAUUGGUUGCCACGCCUCGUUGUAAGAGAAUUGUGGUGGGAUCAGGGGUCGUGGUGCGUCUAGCCGAGGAAGUGUCAUCAAUACAGUGUUAGAACUUCUCACCGCUGUUGUUGGGUCUACAAUUUGCCACCCCGCUGACCUCCUGCGAGAGAAGGAACCCCGACGAAGGAAAAUCAGUUCCAACAUGCAUACUGAGAUUCUGUGAGUGUUCCAAGUUAUUCAUGGAAAGAGACGACAGCGAAUCUCACAAGCAAAGAACCUGUCGAUGUUCUUACAGUCUCAUCUCAUGCCUAUGCGCAUGUGCGUUCAAUAGUAGUUGUGCUUGCUCAUAUUCAUCCUCUUUCCUCUCUGAUGACGGCAAAUCGUGGGACAACAAAAUUAAUGAGAAGUCUUACGGGAGAUGGAUUUCCGAAACGCUGAGGAAUUGAAGGCAGUAUCCAAGCAAAAUCAGAAAAUUGGGGGUCCCUUAAACCUCUCCAAUUCCUUAUUUUUGGACGAUCUACUAUGAUUCUGUAAUUUAUUUUAAAGCUCUUUUCUCGUUGCUUAAAUCCAAAUACUCAUGAACUCUGCAAUGUGAACGAAUCAGGAAAAUUCUUGGUAGAACUUGGACCAUGAAAAUUAAUCCAAAUAAAGUUGCGAAGCAAUUUAUAAAGAGUGUCACAAAAAUCUUCACCUAGACGGUGCGUAUUCAUGUGACCACCAAGCGCUUGAGGCACUGAGAACUGCUUGUGACAGUACUUGCACUCAAAUUGUGGCUUCGACGUAACGCCAUCCUCGUCCGACACGUAGCCAUAAUCUGGGGGCCCUCGUUUCCUCGUCGAGGCUGUGUCAUCUGCUUGAGAACCAAACAACCCCUCGAAAAUCAGCAAUGUAUUCGACACGAACCACCAUUGAAUCACUGACCACAGAAUUCCGCAACAUGCGGAGCGUCACAUUCUGUACCCAAGCACACUCUGGAGCCGCUCAUUCAUUCUCAUUCACUCAGGAUACGGGAAAAGGGUCGAAGGGAGCCCCGACCGAGGAAGGCGAGCCCGGACUCCUACUGAGUGAUCACCCUCGCAAACAGUAGCAGGUAGAAGAAAUGAGAGAGAUAGGCACAGCCGAUGAUUCAGCUGGGACAGCAAGGCAACCACGACAGAAGAAACCCCGCGACUCCACUCAUCCUCAUUCGAAAGUCACGACACAACGCGACGAUCUCGCAGAAGAGGCUGCUUGCUGCUAGUCCGAGGGAGGAUCGAAGAAGUCAUGUGUGGGCAAGGACCAGGUGAAGGCACGACAAAAUGCAGGGAAAGGGUCCCAGAGAGUACGCACCUUCUGGGGCUUCUUCCAUGUGCGAAAGCGGACAAAGUGCAGGGAGAUGGUGGCGCACUUGGAUGGAGAGAGAGAAAGAGAGUUGUGCGAUGCGAUGCGAUGCAAUGCGAGGUUCGGUGCUACAACUACACUACAUCACUCUCGCAUUGCAACAGCGAUGGUCGGAGCAAAAUAAUAGUGUGAGUGUGUGUGUCUGGGAAAGGGGGACGCCCCUCCUCGCACUCGUGGUGUCCUUCGGAGAGGUUCCUCCUCCAAUUCCUCUUUCCUUUUCCUUUUUCUUGUUCUGCUUUUACUUUUCCUCAUGAAAGCAUACUGUUCCCUCAUGUUGCACUUUUGUGUGUGCCUAAUAUAUUAUACUACAAUGCAAAGGAUGUUUCUUAUGCUCUUUAAAAACCAUUAGUUCAUGUAAUAGUGUGUGUAAGUUCACUGAUUCAUUUUAUUUGUUUAAAUUUGUAUAUGCAAAAAGUUUAGCAUUAGUGGUGAUACUGUAAUAUUUUUCUGAAAGUUUCAUCCACUGUAGGAAUUCUUUCAGGUGAAAGACCUAGUCAUCUAAUAGUUGAAUAGCUGAGGUCGUGAGAUGGAAUUUUUUAAAAACAUUAUUAAUUAUUAAUUAUUUUGUAAAAUGAUUAUAUACUAUAAUAAUCUAUAAAUAUCUGAUAUGUAAAAUUUAAAUUAUCUUGUUAUUAAGACCAAAUCAAAUAUUAAUGAUUUUCAACUAUUGUAGUUCUAUUUUAAUGGGUCAAAUAUAAUUCGAUUAAUGAGAAUGGAAAUUCAAUUUUUAUGCAUAAUAUAUGAAGAAAUAUUAUAUACUAUAACUAAACGUAUUUGUUAUUCUUUUAACAAAAUAGUUUUAUUGCUUGUUUGAUUUAAGUUUCUACUAAUACCAACAUUUUUUUCUUUUAUUUUUAAUAUUAUUAUAGAUAAUAUAAAAUAUAUUAAACAUUUAGAAUUCUAUUAAAUAUGUAAAAUGGUUAAUUUUAAAUUGUAUUAAAAAUAUAUACAUAAUAGUAUUUUGAAAAAUAAUACUUUUGUUAUUUGGAAUAAAGUAAUAAUGUAACAAUGUUGUUGUUUAGACUUUUUUAAUAAUACACUUCAAGAUAUACAAAUAUACACAUAAAUAAGAAUAUUUUUAUUUUAGUAGAAUUACUACUACUUGUUAUAGAUAUUUUUAAUAUAUACUUUCUAUGAUUAUUAGAAGACAAUGAGCACAUUUAAUUUUUGUUAUUUUAUAUUCAAAAUUUAAAAAUAAAUAUAAUUAUAUCUAUUUAUUUUAAAUUAAAGAAGUUAUUAAAGCCACAUUCCCAUUUUAUUGAAGCCUCACCUCCCUUGUCAUCUCAUAAUUGAUUUGGUCUAUCUCUAAUAUCCAACCUUCUUCUAUCCUUGUUCACUAUUUCCAAUCUUCAAUUCCUAGCCCAUAUUCCCCCUUCCUUGUUUCUUGUCCUUUGUCCCUUGUUCCCAAUCUCAUAUUCUAUGUCCCCCCCCCCCCUCCCACCUUCUUUCUUAUCCUCCUUCUUAAUGCAUGUCCCCUAUUCCUAUUAUAUUGAAAAUGAUAUACAAAAUUUAAAGCAAUUCAUAUCUCUUACUUAGAAAACCAAUCCUAAAGUCCAAAGCCUUCAACUAUAGAUUUUACACACAAUGUCUAUUUCAAAAGACUUGUACAUUUUAAAUUUUAGCUGGAAAAUUUUAGAUACUACAAGUACAUACAAUACAAUCAAAUAAUCCAAUAAUGUUUAAAUUAAAACAAGAUGUAUUAUCUUUUGAUUGCAAUUAGAAGAUUAUAAUGUAAGAUCAAUAAUUUUAGUUAUAUAUAUUUAUAUUUAAAGACCAAUUUUGUUCAAGAUUAUUUUUGCCAUUCACAAUGAUAAGGAAUGUAGGCAAGAGCAAAAGACUAGAAAUAGAUGGUGGAGGCUAGGAAUGGGAGAUAGGGAAGGGGGACAAGGCUAGGGAACUAUGAUAGAAAAAGGGGACAAGAGAUAGGGGGUGGAAACAAGAGAUUAGUGACAUGAAAUGGGCAUGGGAGGUUGGAUUAAAGAUAGAGAAUAAAGGAUAGAUUGAAUUAAUCAUGAAAUGACAAGGACAAUGUUGUAUUAAUAAUUCCCUAAAUAAAUCGUAUAUAUGUUCAAAUAUAUAGAAUUUAUCAAUUUGCAACAAAUUUCUCAAAGGUAAAUUAAAUAAAGAAAUUUAAUGAAAAUUAGAUAUUUAAAAUUUCUAAAAUUAUUUUUUAAUUUUAUUUUUAUAAUUAAAAUUUAGAGAUAUUUUGUGCAUAAUUGAUCCAUUAGAAGAAUAUUUUUAUUUAUUUAUUUAUCUAAUUUUACCAAGUAGUGGAAAUGUGGAUUCCACUUUCAAGGCUAUGAUCAAAACAUUAUAUCUAUUUUUAGAAUAGAAAUUCUUCAUAUAUUUCUCAGAGACUUGCCUAUUUAUUUGAGUGCAAUAAUAACUAUACAAAAUAACAAUGAUAAUAGUAAAAUUUCUCAAUAUGCUAAAGUCCAAUGAAUAUUUCUCAAAAUUGGAAUUCAAAGUUAAUACACUAUCUCAUCACUAAAAUAAAUAAACACACACUGUUCUAUGUCAAGAUUGCUAUAUGCCAAUGUUGCUCUUUGCAGUAGUUCUUGUUUGGUGGUUACAAGACACAAAUCAUUUAUUACCAAAACAAAUCCAUCAACAUGAAAUCUUAAACAACAAUCAAAAUUUCUUUAAACAAGACUAUCAUCUCCAUCUACAGCCAUAAUAAGUCCUUUAAAUCCCAACAACCAUCCAUAAAUCUCAAGUCCUUGAAAUUGCGAAACACAAAAAUAUACGUGAUACCAAUCAAACUUGGAGAGAGAUUGCUGAGAAUCCAAUGCACCCCACCCCACUGCCAGAGAAGGGAAACUCCCACCCCCCCCCCCCCCCCCCCCGUCGCCGCAUUGACAUUCAUUCGACUUCCCUCCUCCUCCUUUUUUGUACAGUUGAGCAUCCUUUUUGGCGAGAUAUGUCCUUUUUGGGGAGGCGUGCAGGGGACGACGAUGAUUUGGGUGGCGAUGGUGGCGGUGUUGCAUUAGGAAUCGGUAGUUCGGUUGGGGGAUUGUGAUUGUGGCCAGUGAGAGUGAGUGAGUGAGUGAGAGAGAGUGAGUGAGUGAGAGAGUGAGAGUUAGUGAGAGCGGGCGGGGAAUCAUCGCUAGCGGGGAAGGGAGCGAGGGAGAGAGAGAGAGCGAGCGAGGAAGGCAACAUGGAGUUGUCGACCCUGCCCUCUCUGCAUUUCUCCCGCAGUAUUUGCACUGCUGAGGUGCGGCAGCCAGGUUGUUGUGGAAUUGGCUCCGGUUUCGCAACGGCAGCGUCUCGGAUUGAGCCCAGGCUGGGAGGUGGAGCUGCAGUAUUGCGGCGAGCUAGCCAUGGCUAUGGCGUGGGAUGUGAAUUUUCUAUACCACGCUUCGUGUUGGGGUCAUUAGAUCAUAAGUUGGGUGAAAAGCUGUUGCGUAGGGCUGUGAGAAGCGGAGCGUCGGGUUUGAGGAAUCGACGGGAAUGGAGAUGUAUGAACGCGGAAUUUGGAGCUGAUGCCAGCAACGCGGGUUCGCCAGGAUCUGUGCAUUUUGUUGGUAUUGGAGGAGCGGGGCUUUCAGCACUUGGUCUUCUUGCACUGCGACAGGUUCGUUGCUUGGUUUUAGGUACUCUUUGAAAGGGACAGUUGGAAAACCUCUAGCCCAGUGUAAAAAAAUAAUAACAAAUCAGGAGGAAAAUUCGAAGAGAAUUGGAAAUUUUUGUGUGUUUCUGGAUUAUCAAGACGGCAGGAAGAUGAACACAGAGUUUUUGUUUUUGCUUUGUCCGUUGGUAGGUAAUAGCAUUUCUCUAGACGAUUGAACGUCUCAUUUCUAAUCCAUUCCAUUCAAGUUUGAAGUUUGCUUGUGCUUUUGACCAGCAAUUCGAUUCUUUUAUGUUCUUUUAAUCAACGAUUCGGCUCAUGGGUGGGAGGUUGUGAUUGUGGUGCGGAUGUUGGGAAUCUGCUCAUGUAACUUUCAUGGAAGAGUAGUUUGGCAUUGUGUGCUGGCCUCUGUGGAAUUGCGCUACAUUAGACAUGAGAAUCGACUCCUGACAAUUUUAUUGUAGGGUUGGCAAGUAAGUGGGUCCGACUUGGUAUGGAGCGAGGAAGUUAUCCGGUUGAAAGAGGCUGGUGCCCGUGCAUAUGUUGGCCACAGUGUGGCUCAACUGGUGCCUCAAGGGUCGCAGCCGCCGGAUGCUGUUGUUGUAUCCAGUGCCGUGGGUCCAGGCAACGAGGAGGUUGAGGCUGCUCGUGCCCUAAAUGUGCCCAUGUGAGCCUUUGUCACUCCCCCCACGUAUUCUUGCUUGGGCUCUCACACCCUUUCCAAGUUAUUUUUGCUUUUAAACGGCUUGAAAUUUUCAAUCAGGAUUAUGCCGUCUUACUGGAAGAAUUUUGGAACGGCCUCAUGCAAAUGAUUCAGAAAGUGGUUGGCAUUUUCCUUACGCUGGGCGUUCUUGCAGUUACAAGAGGGGUGAUUGGCUAGGGAAGAUUACAGAAGGCUACCAACUGAUAGCCGUUGCUGGAACUCACGGUAAUUGUACAUCUUUCUUUUCUCUCCGCUGCCAGUGUAGUUUUUAAAAUUUCCUCUUUCUUUCAUUUUCCUACAUUGCUGCCACCAACUGCGACUCUCAAGCAGUGGUGGUUGAGAAGGCAAACUGAUACGGUAUCUUCAUUUUAGAUGUUGAUUCUGGUUGGUGCAGGUAAGACCACGACGACAGCAAUGUUAAGUGUGGUCCUGCGCAACUUAGGGGAGGACAUUACUGCUAUUGUGGGUGCUCAAGUUCCACAGGUAUUCAAUUGAACCAUUCUCAAGCAUUGUUACAAAUGUACUCAUCUUUGUAAAAAGAAUUAGUCCAAAAAUGAACCCUGAAAUUGUACUCUUACUUUUGGAAGAUUCAAGUGGACGAUAAGAGCAUUAUUGAAGAUCUGCUCACCCAUACUGGUUUCAUAAUGAGUCUAAUGUCAUUUAGAAUUAUAAUCAACACAGCCUUUCGAAUCACCUUCCUUCCCAUUUCUACAUCAGUGUUGUUCUGGUUCUUUUUACGCUUUUUAUUGGUCUUAGAAGACCUACAUCCUGCUCUGAAGAGCUUGAGCCUCACUUACGUCUGUUAGUUUGAUGUGAUUUUUUUGUCUAAUGCUUCGAUUCUAUAGUAAAAUUAUUGGACAGUUGUCUUUAGCUCACAUAUCGCAAAACUUGGAGUUGUUAGAAUUGUCUGAGUCGGUCCAUAUUGUGAAGAUUUUUUUUCUUAUUGUGUUGCUAAGGCAAUAGGGGAUGAAAGUUAAUGAUAAACACUGCACGUUUCCAGUGCGUCUGAGUUGGUUCGAUUGAAUGCAGUUUCCAGAUGGAGGCAGUGCAUUGUGUGGAACGACUCGCAAGUUUGUUUUAGAGGUGCGCUCGAAUCAUCUUUAAACUUACAGGCAUUUUGUCUGCCUGCUCUCGCUGAAUGUGAGACAAACUUUUUAGGAGAUCUAUGUUUACGAUCAUUUGUUUCGUUUUGUUACUAUAUGUCAAUUCAUUCGAUAUUGAUUGUAGAAGCCAAGGAUCUUGAAUGGCAUAAAGUUUCCGCAUUCCCUCGAUUCUAUUUCAUUGAAAAUUGGGGUAGAUGUGGUCGAACGUAGAGUCAAGUGAGGCCUGUGUUGUGGUUCCACAAGUUUUCAGAAGUAAGUACUGCCAUUAGAUUACACUUCUGUUUGAAGCUACGAAAGUCUGCACAUGUUUUUCAUGUUUUUCACCUAAAUUGUUGUCACGACGCAGGCCGAUGAGUAUGAUGGCUGCUUCCUAGGUGUUUCACCUCACCUCGCAGUAUUGACGAAUGUUGAAUGGGAACACGUCGACAUGUUUCCUGAUGAGGUGGUCUUCGCCUCGUGAGUGUGAUUUUUCCUAUUGUGACAGACCGUUUUGAGAGCACCACUUCGUAAUUUGUUAAGUAUGAACAGAGAGGAUGUCUUUUGAAUGUGACGCCUAGUAUAGAUCUAUUUGAUCAGCCGCUUAUCGUGUCUAUGGAAAACAUAUUACAGGAAGCUGUCAAAAAUAUGUUCAAGAAGUUCGUCUUGCAAAUCAAGCCAGGAGGUUGUCUUGUUGCUUGUGGCGACAGGUGAGGUUUGUUCAUGCUCAUGCUAUUUUAUCCAGUCAAACCUUAGUUAUUUACAGCGUUUCCUGUGUUUUUUUUAUGAUAAGGUUAUAUAAAUGCAUCCCCUGUCCUCUCUUUUAUAUCUUGUUGCAAAACUGAGCAUUACAUCUUCGACAUUGCAGUGCCGGUGCUAAAUCCGUGUUAGGACUGAUAGAAGAGGAGCAAGAGAAAGAUUUAGGUUCUCCAUUCCCCAGAGAGAGACGGGUUGUAACUUUUGGUUUAGGAGCGAGCGAUUGGCGAGCGAUAAUGCUUGUCCCAAAUCCACAGGGUGGAACUGAUUAUACGGUUGUGAGUAUUUGUGUUCUUCAAAUUAAUACUGAGGAUCCGAGUAUUCAGGGGGUUGCAAAUACAUAAAUCAAUUUCUAUUUCGGACUUCUCUUUUUAACACCCUGGUUCUAGUAGGUAAAUGAAUCUAGCAAUACAAGAUGACGCGGGAUUAAACUUUUGAAAACACUUGCUGCCGUGGUGUUUGGUAACAGGUAUACAAGAACAGGCCCAUGACUCGAGUCAGUUUACGCUUGCCUGGCAUGUACAAUGUGCUCAAUUCUCUCGCUGUAAGUACAGUACAUUCAUUACCUGCGCAGAAAACGCUGGUAUAAGUUACCUCUGCAAUGCUAUCAAGAGUUCAGAAGUUGAAACUGCUGCUUUUUGAGAGUAAAUUGAGUGAUUGGUGGUGAUCAAGAUUGGCAGGUCAUUGUGGUUAUGUCGCUGCUGGCAGCAGAGAAGGAAAGCGACGUUGGGGCACAGGCAAAACUCAUGAAGAGGACCGCCGAGGCCGCAGGAAGAGCUCUAGGAGCUUUUUCGGGAGUACGCAGACGCUUUGAUUUUGUAGGAUCUGUUCAUGGAUGUCAUAUAAUCGACGACUAUGCCCAUCAUCCAACUGAGGUUCGUGCUGUUCUACAAGCAGCUCGUCAACGAUAUGAUCAGCAGCCCAUCUGGGUGAUAUUUCAACCUCAUACGGUUAGGUAGGUACUUAGUUCCUGAAACUUGAAUGUUUUUCACUUUUUUGAAGACUCCGUUAAUAACAUCUUUUGUUGAUUUUUGUUGUCACAGCCGGUUGGCUGCAUUUCUACCAGACUUUGCUCCGGCUUUUAGUGCUGCAGAUCGAGUUAUUGUGACACAGGUAGGGUAUCAUACUUUCUUUUUCCUACCUUUGAAGUUUGGUGUCUUUGCAAUUUAUCCAAUGUUCAUUCUAAAAUGGAUUAAAUUGCCGUUUCCUCAUUCAUUUGCCUUUCCCCUAUAUCACUACAUUAAGAUGGACCGACUAUGAGUGAUUAUCCUGUUUUAAUUUUUGUCUGAAAUAGGGUGUAGAACUUCUAACUUCUCAAGGUACGAUUCAUCAGAAACUUUUGUAUGACUGGGAAUGGAGCUUCUUGGCGUUUACCCUUCCAACUGUGAACCAAAGAGCUAAACGUCGAUGAAACUGCAGGUGUAUGCUGCUCGCAACAUUCCAACUGAGAAGGUUGUAACUGGGGAAGAUUUAGCCAAUGCCAUUAUUGGGCCUCCAGCCGUCUAUAUUCCAGACUUGGUAAAGUCUACUCUAGCCAUUCUUUGCAUGAAAUGUAUCGCUUUCAAUUCGAUUUAUUCUCGAUGCUCCAUUCUAUCCUGCUCCUUUCUUUCAAUGUGAUGCACAAGAUGUUUGGUAUUUUAAACCAUCUUGAGAAAGUUCAAACUGGCUUUCUGCUCUACGACAGGAUGUUGUAGUUGAGCGGCUAUCGUGGGAACUGGCAGCCCUAGAUAAGAAUGAGAUGAAUGACCGCGGCAACAUUGUGUUGCUUACUCUUGGUGCUGGUGCGUUUAAUCAGUGUUGACGUGUCGUAAAUUCUAUGCUUAUUUUACUCUAUUUUACUCCAGUAUGAAUGGUUUGGGUUGCUGCAUAUAAAUAGUUUCCUCAUCAGUCAAGUUACUUUACCUACCGUAUAAUCAAUGAAUUAUCGUUUGUCUACACUUGCAGGUGAUAUUACCGACGUGGGUCGACGACUCAUGCAGGCAUGUGAAGUCGCAUCACGAUAGAACUUUACUUCGAAAACCCAAAUUUUACUCUGCAUCGAUUCCUGAGCGUAGGCAGCUUUAUGUUGGUGGUAUGAGUCUGUUGGUUUCUUCGCUGGCUCACACUCAUCACAUGAUUUUAUUUCUUAUGUAAUUUGUUCCUGUGGUUAUAACUUAAAGAUAGCCCUUGCAACAAAAGAUGCUUUCACAGUGCCAGUGAGAAUCAUUUCUUUGUGGCAUGGUUCAGUUAUUGACUUGUUUCCAUCUGUGCACUUUUGUUUGUUGGGAUCUAAAUUCCAUAUCAGAAGACUUAUCCCCCUUCAUUCUGCGUUGUUUUUAAUUUUUCUGAUUGGACCUCGGAUCAUCUCGAUAUAGACAUGAGAUUCCAUUUUAAAAUAUAUGAAUUUAGAUCCAAGGCACAUCCCAAGCAUGAGUUUUUGCUGUAGGUCAAAGAGAUUUGUCACUUCGCCUUAUGCAUGAUUUUCCAAACAUACAAAAUAUUUGAACAUGAAUCUAAACUUCUGUUAGCAAGGAUUGUCGUUGCCAUCUUUGAGGUCAUGCUUACUUUGAGCCUCGUCGUUAGACCUUCCAGGUGGUAGGAUUAAAAUGCGGGUGGUGUGGAACAUUCAGAUGACGUUGACGGUCAUUUCCAAUUGUCUUUUUAGUAUCGAACCUAGCUUCAACUUUCCUUCAAUUGGCGCAAUCGUUCUUUUGUUUUCAUGUUUAUUUUAGAGGUUGUAGAAGGCUUGCUUUGAGUUUUUCUGCUAACGCUGUUUAAAAGAAAACUGUUCGACCUGGGAGGGUCCUCGCCACACCACGGCAUCAAUCAAUCAACAUUGGUACAUGCAGUUUGAGAUUCUCUUUGAUGUACUAUUAGGAGCUCCAUCGGCAUUUGUAGGUGUGGAAAAUUCACUAAAUUUAAUUCGAAGUAAGCAUUUGUACGCAUCUGGUGUUGCCAUUUCCGGGUUCUACGUUACGUUUUCAAAUUUUGAGAAGCCGCUGUGACGCGGUGGUUGGAGAGAACUUUCUGCUUGGAAGGGUGCUGCAUGAUAUUCCCAGUCUGGGGCUCCAGUAUAUGACUCGAACUAAAUUUGAGGUUCUGCUGGAUAGUCAAUGUCCUUUCUUUCCUCCUUAUUUUUCCGAUCCAGUAAUUCUAAGACACAAUUCUUGGAUGAAAUCCAACAGGUUACAUGUAAACUGAGUUUUGCUUCCGACAAUCUUCGUGCAGUAGCUUAAGGACAGCAGUGGCUAUCAACCAUGGAAGCCGAGAAUAAACCAGUCCUAGUGGACAAAACCACCAAUGGCAUUGCUAUUAUCACUCUCAACAGGCCGCAUGCACUCAACGCCCUCACGCCUGAUAUGCUUGUAAAGCUGGCAUUCACUUUCACUCGAUUGGAUGAAGACCCAACUGUCAAAGUGAUCAUUCUCACAGGCGCUGGGAGAGCUUUCUCUGCUGGAGUGGUAACCUUCUUGACCUCCUUCUCAUUAAGUCCUCAAAAUAUAAAUAAACAAAUAAAUAAUUUCAGGGUUAGCAGAGGUACAUUGCCGGCAGACUGGAGAUCGGAGAGUGCACUUGAUGCCAGAAUCUUUGACCCCCUGCGGAAUUUUACCACAUGAAUAAUGAAUGGUUAGUUGCUUAAUAUGGUUUAUUCUAUUAAGUUUCAGGUUUCUUUGGCAGGAUUUAACAGCAGCUUCAGAUGUUUUCAAGGGUGAUUUCGAGAUCGAGGCCACCGACACUUUGGUUCAAAUGCAAAAGUGUCGGAAGCCCAUAAUUGGUGCCAUAAACGGCUACUGCAUUACAGCUGGCUUCGAAAUUGCGCUUGCAUGUGAUGUUUUGGUUGCCAGUACUGCUACAAAAUUCAUCGACACUCAUGCCAAGUAAGUACUCAACACACCCCAACAAGGGUUUUCUUGAUGUACUUGUGCAACCCUUCAAGCAUUUCGAAUCCUGAGACUUCUUCUAUACAUUCCCAAAAUUAAAAGAUACAUCGGAUGCUUCAUUCUCAUACUUGACAGAUCAUGGUUCUUCUGAGCAGAUUUGGAAUAUUUCCAUCAUGGGGGUUGUCACAGAGAUUGCAACGCACAGUAGGUCCCUACCGAGCACGGGAAGUUUCGUUAACGGCCACGCCUGUAGAAGCACACACAGCGGAGAGAUGGGGACUAGUGAACCGUGUGGUUGCUCCCUCGGAGCUCAUGCGGACAGCGAUAACUAUUGCAGAAGCCAUUCUCAAGAACAAUGAAGGCCUUGUGGUGAAAUAUAAGACCGUCAUCAAUGACGGCUUCAAACUUCCUCUUGGAGAAGCACUGAAGCUCGAGCAGGUAUCUUCACCACCACGUCUUGUAAAGGUUUGGAAGUAUGAAAUAAAACUUGUUGCAAAAAGUCAAAGUCACGUUUUCUUUUUGAAAACGUCAAGUCACGUUUGAACAAACAAACAAUAUUUGAUGUCAUGCAGAAACGGGGACAUGAGUACUAUGCCAACAUGAAGCCGGAGGACUUUGCUGCAAUGCAGGAAUUCAUUGCAGGACGAUCUUCAAAUCAAUCGACGCCGAAAUCCAAGCUCUAGUAGAUCUGGAGUAGACGCUUGCAAAAAGUGAACAUUGUCAAAGUCAGAGGUGAUACGUAAGUCAUGAAUAGAAGGCCUCAACAAAACUGUAGAUAUAUGCUUCAACUCAAGCGGCUGUGAAAUAGAUCACCAAGUUUCUGGUUAUGCACACAUAGAGAGCUUACUGUCAAACUGAAAUUCUGCUUCCAUGUGAGAAACUGAGAGGUGGUUGUUUGGAUAAUGGUUGACAUCAUCAGAUGAUGUUGAGAAGGAAAAUCCUGCUACCAAGCACUGGGUUUUUAUUACAUUUGGUUCCCUUCUGUGAUGGCUCCAGUCCACAUUCGCAAAUCAGAAAAUCUAGAUUGUUAACACUUAGCUUCCAUCCUUAAAUUCCAUUCAAAAAAAUGGACAGUCAAAAGAGAACCUACACCCAUCAACUUAGAAUACAUAUUAUUUCACUGUUUCUUCUGCAAAUACAUCUAGCUGAAACUUCAUCACCGUUUGACCGCCGUCACUACUUGAGAUCGAUAUCUGAGGACUAGUUUGUCUCGUGAGUACUAUACAAUGUAUUCACAUGGACUACCACGGCAACGAGGAAUUCAUGUUUUGAGAAGUCAACACAUCUCGUCAGGGACAUCAUAAUUACUGGUUCAAUGAAUGAAAAAAAAUCAUAUCUUUAACUUGAUAAAGAUCUCUCACUGCGACUUGGAUUUUCUCAUCUCCUCUACUUUUUUGAAAAUGCUGCCAUCAAACAUAUCACGGAUUGACUCCUUGGAUAUUAGGCCAUCUUUGUCCUUCAACAACCAGAAAGUCACGCUCCACUCACCUUUGGAAGCAAUCCUGCACGUCAGAGUGAGGUCAAUUACACACAUUGCAAACAAUACAGAAUUUAUAAAAGAAAAGAAAAAGAAAAGAAAACCAUUCAUUUAAUGAAGAUUGCUAGGUCAUAUCAUACACGCAUAUCAAUGUGAGCACAAGAAAAGCAGUAGCCGAUCAAAUAAUAUGGAUGUGUUUUAGUCAUUCGGUACUAACCAGCCAAAAGGAUCAGCUACGUUUCGAUUGGCAGCAGUCAUUUCCAUGAGUUCAGAAAAUGUCAAUCGAUUCUUUUCGGUCUUAGCAUAUUUACUGAAGAUCUCCUCGAAUUUGUAAGGAACGAAUCUGUACAAGCAGACAAUUCUCGCUCAGAAAAUGAAGCGCCUGCAUCUAGAACUUGUUCCACUUCAAGGAACUGAAAUGAAAGAAAGAUUCGAAUAGCUCCAUGUUUUUGAAGGGGUGGAAUAGCAAUUUAGUACCUGCCCUCCGUAUCGUAUACUUCUGUGUCACUGCCAUGCUUUGCUCUAUGUAUAUUUUUGAUGUAAACUGGGAACCAUAAUGAAGGAAUCCAGGACUGCGCGUCUCUCACAAGAAGACAGACCCAUUAGCAGCAUUCUCCACCAUUCCUUCAACUAUGCAAUGUGCAGACAGAACUCAGGCUCUGAAGAAUUAUUAAACGGGGAAUAGAAGAUUACUUACAUCAAGAGUAGGGUAACUUUGGGCACUGUGUAUGAAUAACAUGCCUAUAAAAGAUAUUAUGAAAUUGAAUCCAAGAGCAUGGAAUCCUGGGGAAGCGAUCAUUGAAUCAAGAAAAAAAGUUAAGACCUGAAUGAACGCUGCCGCCAUCAGAUCACAUUUCACAUUGUAGAAAAGAGAGUGCAACUAAGGAAAUUGUCGUCUCAAGUGAUGAUUCAGGAAUUAGGGUGAAUAAUGCAUAAAUUCAUUCAACAUAAAAUAAAUUAAUAAAUAAAAUUAAAAAUGAAGGCACUACCUUGGAAAGUCUCCCACGGAUAGAUAACGCCGUCGUUGUUCCGAUCGAAAAAGGCUAUGUGCUGCUGAAGCACUGAAUAGCCAUUGUGGUUGUAGUCAGGAGUGCCUUGGGGAUAGUCGCCUCCUGUGGCCUCCAUCGCUCGUGGUACAUCUGCGGCAACAAAACUCCUCGUGAUCGAGCAUUAGGACACAGAUAAGAGGCCCAGUGUUGCGAGAAAUCGAGCACCUGAAUUUCCAAGUUGUCAACAAGCUCUCAGAGGACUUGAAAGAAACAAUCGUCUGCGUACUUUAGGAAUGAACGACGAGCUCUAGUUCUCAGCGAAAGGUAGUAGAAAUUAACGAUCUCAAAAUACACUGCAACAUCCAAAAUCAUGACCUAAACUGAUCUGUUUUCAUGGACCGUGCCAACCAUGGAUGCUUAACCAAAAUCUCAAUAACUUCAAAACAUGAUAGUGGGGUUUAUUACGAGGCUUCUCUACUCCAACAUCACCGCUAAUGGCAGUGCGACGAUACAUCACGGGCGCCAUUGGCGCCACUGUCUCCACGUUAAUUUCGUUCCCACUCUGCUCUUCAGCCAUCACUAUUUCGUCCACCUCACGGACUAAUUUUUCACAGGCUUCAGAGUCUUUGUCAAGUCUCUACGAAAACACCCAGAUGCACACAAACAGUAAUCCCAACCUAAAUCAGUGAAAAACUCAACAAAUGAGCUCGUUGACACUAAUCUCCGAUGUGGAGAGAGGUAGGAGUAAGGAUCACCAGCGGGGUCAAAGUACCACUUGACAACCUUUAAAGCACUCUAGUUUCUCAAGUUCCAUAAAAUAAAAACGCAGCAACAGAAACUCGAGGUUGAAUCGAUUGCAUGCAAUUCCGACUCAAAGCUUACCGAACUAAAGUCGUUUCAAACCCAAUUCAAUUUCGAGACGAAUCUAAACAAAUGAUCCCCAAGUGCGAAGUUCGUGAAACAAAAGUUUGACUUGCGACUAGAACUUGCAUACAAGGCAGCUGCUUCGUGAACACUUCCGCUGGAAGUUGGUAAUUGUUUUCAAGGCCGGCCAUGAUCCGAAGAAGUGGGCCGGUAGUAGCCCAGCUAUCACGCCGCGUCUGGAAAUUACUGUUUGCGUUGGGGGCAAGGUGGUCUGAUGCUGACAGUCGAUGUGUUCGAAGGAGGGGUCGCCAAUUGGCAUGCAUGCUUGUCAGCAAGGGCCCUCUGCAACGAUUCCCUUAUGGACGAAUUGGAAAUCCGAGUUUCCCAAAUCGCGUAGAUUGCUGUCAACCUUUCGGUGCCAACUCUUAAACGAACGAACUUAGUGACCAGGUUUCGCAAAUUUCUUACCACAAUCAGUCCAUCCGUUUGAAGUAUCGAACCGUUCUUGAGAAACUUGACUUGCUCAUGAGAGUAACAAGUCAUCAAAUUCCACACGUUAGUGAGCGUCGAGGUUGGAUAAGGAGAACGAUCAAGAGAGAAAUUGUAAGUGAAAACUGUAUUGAGUGAGGUAUUGAAUGAAGAAUCUCAAGCGAGGGUUUAGAGUGGAGGAUGAAAGUUGCUCCGCGAGAAAUAGAACGAUGGUAUUCUCACUACCACCACAGUUAGAUCCUUGUUAGGGGGCCCCCUUGUCUUGGAACAAAUAUUUUAAAAAACAAUUAUAGCGGAUGAGGGGAGAAACAACAAUGUCGGAAAUUGUGUUCCCAACCAACACAAAAGGACCGCAUCACCUCAUCUUUUAAGGCGAAAUUGAUAGAUUUGUUUUGCUUCAAAGAGGAGCAGAUUUUAUCUUUUUGAGAGAUUUCUGAAACUCAUGUCACGGUCACAAAAUUCAUACAGACUACUGUGGGGACAUGAAAUGCAGAUUUAUGUCUAAAUAGACGCGCUAAUGUGGAUGAGCUUCCAGUUCGAUCAUGCGAAAUGUACGUGUUAUCGAUGCUUCACAGAUUAUACACAAUUAGUUAACAUGUUUCUAUAAGUUAAAUAAAUAAAAUAAAUCCAAUCUACACUUCGCUCAAAAAUGUGGCAAGCGAACGUGCGACGUCGUCAGCAUACUCCUCUUGAGGCAACAACGCUCCUUUCAUCUUCUCGAACUUGGUGACACCCUUGGCUCCCUCUAAAGCCUCCAUCUCAGCUCGUGAUCGCUUAGGAGCUUUAAGGGUGGAGAUGACGAGCACGGGAACCUUUCCUUCCAGUGCAGCAAACAUGGCGAGAAACUCCUCUCGUGUCAUGACUGGGUCUAGAAGACCAGUAAGGAAAGCUGCAGGUGCAAAACGAGCGCCAUCCCGUUGCGUCAAGGCAGUUCGGCUCUCAAUCAUAGCCGGUGUCACGUUGUCAGCAUCAGAAUAAACGUGGAUCAGAUAUUGCAUGCGAAUGUUCUUGGGACUGCUCACAAAGUACUUGUAUAUCGCCCAGCCAACGCCUGGGGAUCUCAGAGUGCCGCGCACUAGACCGUACCUGACAAACAGACGCAAAACCCAUCAGGAUCUCGGCUUUUGAGCAAUGCCCCACAGACAGUCACUCGUCCUCAUGGUAUUAAAUAACUGGGUAUUUCCGAGAAAGUAUACAAAGUUGGUAAGAUACAGACCUUGAUUCCAUGGUGUCACUGCGCCCAAACACAAUUGGCAAAGGACCACUCCAUGUAGGAGCAACAGCAGCCAUAGCUUUGGCAUUGAUCAACCCUUUACUGACCGCACGAAUAGAGAUGCUUGCGGCGUGGCCUCCACCAAUUACUACAAGUGACUCACCUGAGUAGAAAAUCUUGUCUAUGAGCACGAUUCCAGCAAAACUCUCUAUGGUGGGAAUUGUUCACGAAAAAAAUUCACGUUUCAAGUUUCCUCAGCUGAACUGACCUUGAACGCCAGCUAGAGGUCCAUUGGCAGCAGUCACGAAGUCUACCAAAAACUUUUCAUACAUAUCAACUGUGUAUUCCAGUGCAGGCCUAUCUGAAAGCCCCAAACCAGGCCAGUCCACAAUUACAGCUCGUCUUUUGCAAGACCCUGCGUUCGUCACAAGCUCCUCUGCCACGUCGUACCACUCCUCGGUUGUGCUUACAUCCGAGAGAGAUGGCAGCAGCAGCAGCGUCUCUUGAGCGGCCCCUUCUCCUUCUGACCCCUGUUCCACGUAAUUGAUGUUCAAGGAGUUGCCCUCGUAUGUCCAAGUCCAUGUUCCCGUUUGGAGCUGUGAAAUCCAGAGACAGAUGAUUGUUAGAUAAAGACGUCCUCUCAGCCGACUAUGUGCCCUGGCCAACUUUGCUUCAAAAGCAAUUUUACGCGCGUACAUUCCAUUUAAUCAGGUCUGAAACCAUUCGAGAUGGGUUGAGAGAUGUCCAGGGCACGGUGGCUAUCAGGAUUCAUCUUCAUGAUGAAGUUUGGUGUCUCGGCCGCGGUUUCAGACUCUGAAUCUCAGUAAAUUCCGACAUGCCUUGCGCGAGUGCCCGCCAUCGGACUACCCAGCAUUUCGUUACUGUGAAAGCCACUUUUAAUCCACCCUUUCCAUUCUAAAUGCCCCGCUAGAUCUCUGCACUUGCAAAGAGUAUGAAAAAGCUCUCUGUUGAUAUAUUCAGCGAAGCUCAACGCAGCUGUACAUAAUAGGGGAACGCUCAAUUACUGGCAAUACAAUGGGAGGUGGUGGAGAAUAACCUUGGGGGAUUCGGCAGUCUCCACGGCGGCAACUGACGCUUGCGCUUGCAUUCCACGAUUACUCAUCCAUACUCCACGUUGCUGCCCCACCUGAAUACUCGAGCUCGUCUUCACAAAUGAGAAAUCCCCACCAUAUUGCGAGGUAAAACCCCUGGAUGCAAUCGCCACUUUCACUACAUUUUUGGACCUCCGGCUACUGUUCCGUAACGCGCAAGCUAUCGUCGGGGCACGCCUACCACAUGACGCAGAGAGAGCGCGCAAUGCCAUAUCGCACCACAGAUCCAGUCCCCCUCUACAAACAACACCAACAGCCUUUCAUAACCAAGAACCCACAAUCCUCAGCCACACACCAACUCAUCAAAACCGCCGUCAUCAGCAGAGCAGAUCAUCCCAGUCUCCAAAAGCGAAAUCUUCUGCCACUAUAGCCUCAACCCACACCCUAAACAGACAACAAAAACUCCCAUCCCCACAACAAGAGAAAACACCACACUCUAAAUACACCCAGCUUCGUCAGGAAAUCCCACUCAUCUCAAGUAUGUAAUCCGCAAUCAACUAAUACCUCUUCCAGAGAAAAUACACGCUCUAGACGAAUGCCUACAGCAGCGCUCCAGGCGUCGAAAGCGAGCUAGAGAGAGAGCGAGAGAAACAGAGCGAGGUUCCCGCUGAAUGUUGCAAGCAACGGGGUGCGGGGGAGUGAGUGCGGGAGGGAAGGAGGGUGGAAUUGGGGCUGGGGCCGGAAGCACCACGGCGUUGCGUGACCACCGUGGCCAUGGCCGUGAGAGCCACAGCGUGAGCCCCCCGCGAUCCCCCGCGACCGAGCCACAGCCGCGAAGUGUGUGUGUGACGGCGGUGUGGCCACGGCCCCCCUCGUAGAAUCGUGUCGCAGGAACCUCCUUAUUCAAUCGACUGACUCCGCUAUCGUGGGCCGUCGGAUUGCAGCUGCCUCGCAGAUGCAAUCUCAACCGCCGAUCGGAUACCUGGGAACGGAGGGAAGUAACGAAGGGGAACCAGUAUUGGAGAGCCGGGCAGUAUGGAGAGCGGUAGGUCGGGAACUCAGACCCCAUUCUUCAUUAGGCCCGCACUCAUCCACAUUGACAUGGGUGCUGAAUUUUGUAUAGUAUAAAAAUAUAAAUUUUGUAUAAUAUAUUUUUGUAAAUAUUAAAUAUUAAAAUAUUAAAAUAUUAUUUUUAUUUUAUUUUUCAUUAAAAAGAAUUUCACAAAAUAAAAUUUUGAGUUAGUAACUUUUGUACAGUAUCUUAAUGAACACAAUAUUUUUAUAAAUAUGUAAAGGUUCUUCCAGCACUACUAUAGUUCUAGAAAUAGGGUUUUUUUUUUUUUUUUUUUUUUUUUACUUCAAUAGUUAAUUAAUUGAUUAUUUGAAAAAAUAAAUGUUUUGAGCAUUACUAAAGUUUCAAGACUAUUAUUUUUAAGUUGAACUAUUUUGUUGUCAUAAAAAUAAAAAAAUAUAUAAUUAAAAUUAUCAUCUUUAUAGAAAAUAACAUACAUUAUAUACAUUUUAAAAGUAUCUAAAUAAUUAUGCUUAAAAUUUUCAAAUUUAGUUUUAUGCAAUAUAUAUUUUAACCAUCGUUCAGCACCAGGUAUGUCAAUGUGGGAUCAGUGCGGCCACAAUGAGGAAUGGCUUCUGAGUUCCCAACCUGCCCGACCUCCAACCUGCCCGCCCCCGUGGUUCCUUCCGUUCCCAGAAAUCCGAUCAGCGGUUGAGAUUUCAUCUGAGCCGUUGCUGAAAUCCGACGGCCCACAAUGGCGGAUCAAGCCGAUUAAACAAGAAGGUUUCUGCGACACGUAGUGGCGAGGCACGGCCCCCUCGGGCCGCUUUUACUUUUUGGCUCCCAUCUCAUAUACUUCCUCGUUCACUUCCUUGUUCCGUUCUUCCCUCCCUUCCUCGUUCACUUCCUUGUUCCGUUCUUCCCUCCCUUCCUCGUUCACUUCCUCGUUUCAUUCUUCGUUCCCUUCCUCGUUUCGUUCUUCGUUCCCUUCCUCGUUCCGUUCUUCGUUCCGUUAUUCGUUCUCUUCCUCGUUCCCCCCACUGGAUAUUGAGCACUGAUUCUUGCAAACAUGCACUUGUUAAAAAACGUUACGAGCACAGCAUUUACAUGUGUAUUCGAUUUUGUACAAAAAGAAAAGAAAAGAAAAAUUAUGGAACUGAUGAUACGUUGACACUUCUUGGUCAGAGAUUUUUAUUUAUUUUUUAUUUUUAUUGAAUUGAAUUAUUUGAAUAAUUAGUUUUAUGGAUGAAGAGAAAACACCACAAGAUUUUUUUUUAUCACAACUGUAUCAGUUGUGAUAUAUGUGUAUUCAAUUAUCAAAAUUAGUUAGUUGUCAUUCUUUUAGGUUUUUUCAAAAUAAUAAUCUUAUUAUGUUAACUGUAUUUAUUAUUACUUUAUUUUUUAAAGUAGAAAUAUACUGUUGAUUUUGAACUCAUAGAACAUACGAUGGUAUUAUAUAGUCUAAAAUCAAAUACUUUUUUUCAUUCAACAUGUAAACCCCAGAACAGGAAAAAAAAAAAAAAAAAAAAAAAAAAAAAAGGAAAAAAAAGGGACAAAAAUGGACAAAUCAAGAUAAGUAUAUAUAUUUUUACUUCAGAAAACGUAAUGCCAUAUAUUUUCAUGUCUUCUCCUUGCUUUGUAUCAACUCCUUAAUAAUUAUAGGAAUCUACUUGAAAACGCAUUUUGAAAUUUUGCUUCACAAAUGAUUUCUGUUUGGUCAAAAUCUGUUUUGUAUGUAGGUCAAUGAAAUAGCAAAGAUUGUUGUUGUUGAAUACAAAUAUAGUCAUUUUUCAGUUGGUCUUUUAUGAGAAGACAUUUAUUGCUUCUAAGAUAUAUAUAUAUAUAUAUUUAUACAUAUUGAAUUCUACAUGAACUGUAGUUAAUAUUCUUUCCCUUAUAGACAUUUAUCAUGAACUCAAAUUAAUUUUGGAAAUAUCUUUCAUCAAAAAAGAAUUAGCACUCUCACUGAUAAAAUAAAAGUGAAUUGUAAACCAUUGAGAGACUUUUAUGUUCUUUUUUUAAUCUAAGUCUCUACUUUCUAUUUUGUUUCUAAAAUGAAAUCAAAUUUUUUAUGCAAAAUAAUAUCUAACUAAUAUCCUACUUCUUUAAUAAAAAUAACUUAAUCCAUGAAAAAUAUUAUAGAAAAAUAAUCUCUUUUGUAUAAAAUAUACAUGAAAGCUUUAAAGUGUUGUCAUUUAAGUCAAUAUUAACUCUAUCUAAAAUUAGAUUGAAAUUAGUUUUACAUAUUCCUGUGUACAAUUUAUUAUUCAACUAGUUAGAAUUCCAAUUUAAUAUUCCAAGUUAAAAGACCACCCAAAAAACAUUAAUAUUGUGAUAUAAAAUCAUGGUUGCUUCACAUCAAGUCGUUUUUAUUUUUUUUCAGUAAUGAUUCAUUAAUGAUAAUAAUUAUCAUUUUGUUAUAUUAAUUGAUGUAAUUUGAUGUUGGUCGAUGUGUAAAUGAAGAUAUCGAUUUGUGUGCACUAAAAAUACUUCAAUAUUUUAAUAUACCAAUAAGAAUAAUUUGUUUAAAAUCAUUGUAGAUAUCAUCAUCUUUUCUAUUAUUUUCCUUCAUGGCAUUCAUUGCAAGGGAGAAUUGCCCAAUAUCAGCCACUUAUAGGCCCAAAGACCCCAACCAGGCAAACAAGACACUGGAAUCAAAAACUAAUAGCCCCACUCAAAAGGGAGCAACUCUACCUUUGUGAACCUUUGUGAAGUGCUUCCAACUAAUUAGCCUGCCUACUCUGGUGCAUAACACUUGGUUGUUGCCCCAUCUUCUGUUAUAUUCCUGUUGAGUCAAAUGUUAGGCCCUUUACUAGCCCAUAAAAGAAUUGUACUGUGUAUUUCUACGCAUCUUUUUCAACUUGAACUUCUCUUACCUUUUUGGAUAUGCAUCUUAAAAAAUAGCUAACAAAUAGAGUUCAAGUAUUCCAACUUUCUUUCUUCAUUUAGGAUAUUGAUUAAUUUUUUGUUGAUUUAAUCAAUAUCCUAAAUGAAGAAAGAAAGUCCAAAAAACAUCUCUAAGAGUUUAGAAAGGUGAUCCUUUUUUAUCCAAACCAAGCCAUAUUGGUUGAGCCAUGGCAAAGGUUAAUCAAGUUUUUCAACCCAAUAAACAUUAGAUUGGCUAUAAUUUAUAAGAAGUCCAAAUGUGAGGUAGAAUUUGUUGAGGAUGUGUACCAAGUUGGCAAUUGAGUCUCUCUCCACAUAUAUUAAAAAUUAAGUAUUGUCUGCAUAUUAAAGUGUGAGCUGUUGAGUUCAAGAGAAGGUGACUUUAUUUCUUUAACUUUGUCCUUGGUUUAUACUUGACAAAAUUUUGCAUUUAAUACCUCUAUGAUGAUAAGAAAGUAAUAUGAAGCUAACAAAUAGCCUUGGCAUACUUUCUUUUUGAUAGAGAAUGUUGUUAAAGGUUGCUUAUUGAUAUUAAUAAAUGCUUCAGUACCAUCAAAUGUAAGACUAACUAACUAAAUAAAUUUUUGGAGAAAGCCCAUCUUUUCUAUGGUUUUAAAAAAGUAACACCAGUUUACUCAAUCAUGAUUUUUAAGAAACUGAGUUUGAGAAUAAUUGUCUCUUAUUUCAAUUUUGUGCCAAGCUCAAGGUCUUAGAUGUAAGCAAAAUAUUAUGAAGAAUGAAGCAAUUUUACAAAAAAAGAACUUUGGUCAAGAUUGAUAAGUUUGCAUAAGGAUUCUUAAAGACGGAGUUGCAAUUUCUUUGUAUAGAUUUUGUAUGAAACAUUUUAAUAGUGUUAUUGGGCACUAAUUUAUUAAAAGUUUCUUAUUGCCACUCUUCGAGAUGAAUAUGAUGAGGUCUGCUGUAACUUCAUUGGAGAAUCUCUCUUUGUUAAUGGCAUCUUUGAUCAUAUCAGUAGACUCAUCUCCAAUUAAGUUUCAAAACUUAAUAAAGAAAUAAACUAUGAUGCCAUUUGGACUUGGUAUUUAUUUAUUUAUUCAUUUUUCCUAUUUUGCAGGGAACAAUAAAAAAGGCUUCUUUUAAAAAUAGGUGCCAAAUCUCUUAGAUCAUUCACUUUAUUACAUUCUAAAAAAAAACUUCAAAGAUUUCUUGCUCAACUUUCAAGGCUUUUGAACUUCGCGAUUGUUUGUCAUUGAGUUCUUGAUAGUAAUGCACGUCUUUUUCUUCAAUGUGGAUGUUAUUUGAGAUUUGUGAUCCAUCUCAUAUUUGAAGUUUAGUGGAAAUGAUUUUUGUUAGUUUUUUUUAAAAAAUUAAUUAAUUAUUUUUUUAUUUUUUAUUUUAUUGUUGUUUAUUUUAUCUUAUUGUUGUUUUUUAUUUUAUUGUUGAUUUUUAUUUUAUUGUUGAUUUUUAUUUUAUUGUUGAUUUUUAUUUUAUUGUUGAUUAUUUUAUUUUAUUAUUUUAUUACAAAAAAUUCUUUGAUUAUUUGAUCUUUAAUCUUUUUUUAUUAGAUUCUUGAUUUGAGCCUUCUACCUUUGACUCUCUCAGUCUUAAUCAUAAGAAGUUCUUCCUUACACUUAUCUACUUGUCAUUAAUACACUUCAUUUUUUGAUUCAACUUAUAAGAUACAUUGAGAUGGUUCUAAGGCCUCUUUUGCCUUACAUUACUUCUAGCGAACUUCUUCCACCUUGUACUUGUAGUAAGUUUUAUAGAAUCUUAUGAAUUUCUUCACCUCUAAAAAAAAAUCUUUUUUUUAUUUUUUUUUAUUUUUUUAUGUAUCCUACUUCUUUCACUAUACCAUUGUUCAAAUAAUGAGUGUUCAAUUUAUAUUUUCUUCUUCUUGGGACUAGAACUUGUAACACUAAUUCAAUCGUGACUAAGAGAUGAUUAGAAGCUAUAUUGUUACCAUAGAUUUGAUAGUUUUAUAUUUUAAUAUUUAAUCCACUACUAUGAUCAUCUAAGAUAUAAUAUCUAUUUAAACUUUCUAAGACUCUAUAUCCAUCUUUCUUAUUAUCCUACAAAAAUUAUAAAUUUUUGGUAUGUUAAAACUAUUAUAAAAAUCUAAUAAGAAGAUUUUUAAAAAUAUUCUUAGAAUAUUCUUUUAAAUUCUAUAAGAUUCUAAAAUAUUUUAAAAAGAUUUCUAAAAGAUUUUUAGAAUAUUUUAGUAGAUUCUAAAAAUUCUAAGAAGAUUAAAGAAAUUAUUUAAGAAGCUUUUUAUGAAUGCUUCAUCUUUAAUCAACAUAGAAACUUCUUGUGAAGCUUUCUAAGGUUGUUUCAUCUUCAACUAAUAUAGAAACUCUUUGAAAAGCUUCAUAAUAUCUAAUAUAUAUAAGAAUCAAGGCUGAAGAGAUCCUCAGACUCAACAACACAUUUCUUGGAGCUCUAAUUCAUCUUUUUGGUCUUGAUUUUGUACUCAUCUGAUUUAAUUGAGUUCUUAUUAGCUUUCAUGUUGAAAAUUUUUAGUUCAACUUCUUGCUUGGUCUCAUGUAUAGUGAAUCUAUGAAAUUUUUUUGAAACUACCUCCUUAUCAAUGCUAGAACUUAAUCUUUUUUUGAUAAAGAGUAGAUUAUUCUACUUUUUAAAAGCAUCUAAGUACUUUAGAGGUUGCAUAAUAUCCUCCUCUAAACAAGUAUUGAUUUAAAAUCUCCUUUUCAUUUUUAGAAUGGCUAGAAGUGAAGAUAUUACUAUGGUUGAAUCUCCAAAGUCUAAGUUAGAUAUUAUUAUGAAUACAUUGAAUGCUUUAACUUGUAAAACUAUUGAAAUUGAGGAAUUUUUUGCAAGGUUUCAUGGAGAUACAAGACUUGGAAUAAGUCAACUUAUAAUGUAACUACUUUCUUAAGAUUUUAUAUCUAAAGAAGUAGUGGCACUUGUAUCUCAACAAGAAAAUUCUCUUAUUUAACAAUGUAAAGAGCCUCAGAUUAGUCUUUUAGAAAAGUUUGAUGGCACAUGCUUGAAGUUUAGAAGAUUUGUUAAGCAAACUCAAUUGAUAAUUUUUCUACAAAUUGAGUGCUAUUCAACAAAAGAGUCGUGAAUUGGUUAAGUUAGAACCUUGUUCACAAGACAAGUCUUAUUUUGAUAUUCUCUUUUAUUUGAGAAGAAAUUUUUAAUUUUAAGUAAUUAUGAAGCUUUCUUAAAAGCAUUUAUAGAGGUAUUUGAAAAAUAUGACAAGGCUCAAUGGACAACAACAACAUUUUUUUUUAUUACAUUUUUAUGUUUUGGUUUGGCUACCAUGUAAAAAUAAUACAUAUAUAUAUAUAUAUAUAUAUAUAUAUAUAUAUUAUAUAAUAUAAUAAGAGCCAUGUUAUUAGAUUUUAAUUAAUUACAAAAUAUGAUUAGAUUAAUCCUUUGAAGUAAUUAGUUUAAAAAGGCUAUUAUUGAAGUUGAUUUUAUAUUAAUAAUAGUUUUUAUAUAUUUAAAACCACCUUUAUUAGACAUUGGUGACUCUUAAAAUCUUGUUUUGUUUCUUUGAUUUGGUGUUUAGGAUACAUAUUAUAUAAAACUUAUUAUAAAAAAGAUUAAAGAAGGAUUUUGUACAAAAAAAGAUAGUUGGGCCAAUAAUAUGGAUGAAUGGAAAUAGAUGAUGAAAAUCUCUAUUAUUAUUGACCAAAAGUCAUACCUAAUAGACUUCAAGGAGGCUACUCAAGGCCUUAUUAGGAAUUAGAGUUAUUCCUUCAAGUCCAUUCAAAUAUUAGAGGCUAGGAUCAUCAAGUUGAGGAUUUUGGAUAUAAUUUUGAUAAAAAAUUUGUAUGAUUUGGAGUUUUUAUGAAGAAGAUAUAAGCACUCAAAGUUAAGGUGUUUAUUUUGUAUCUACUGAUAUCUUUUAGAGCAUAGUGCACGUGUAUAAAGGGCUUUUGAGGAUUUGAUUGUGCGAUUGAAAAGUUGGUUUAAACAACUAUAUUUUGCAUGUAAAAAGAAAAAAAUUUGGAAUUAAUUAAGAGGAGCAAUGACUUUUUAGAAGCAAUGCUUCCAAAUUGAGGUUUAUCAGUGAACCAAUUCUAUGAGAGAUUUGGUUCUAGCCAUAUCUUAGGCAUUUAGAUAAAUUUUUAGCUAAAAUAUUUCAAAAAUAUGUAUUAUUUUGUUAUAAAACUACAUACCAAAUUUUUUGGUAUUUAGAUUUUGUAUUUUUGAGAUAUGAAAAAAAUAGUAUUUGGAUGUGUAUAAAUUAGGAUUUAGAGUGCCUAUUAGGAUUUCUAAGAUGCCAAACAAUCUAUAAUAGAUUUAGAGUUCAUUUUUUUUGUAGUAAAGCUUAAAGAUAAAUACUAUAUUAUCAAAAAAAAUUAAAAAAAACUAAAUAGUUGGAUCUAGAGAUAUGAUAUUCUAAAGUUGAGGAAGAAAAAAAUCCUCUAUAGGAAAAAAAUAUUUUGAAAUGGUUUAGCUAUAAUUUUGGAAUUUUAUACAAAUUAAAGAGAUUUUUGGAAGCCAAGACUUUAUAUACAUGUUAAAAAUAGAGAUAUGGAACUAUGAAAAAAUUAUGAUGUAAAGAUGGAUUUUUAUAAAAGAAUUAUGGAUUUUUUUGAGUUUAGAAAAAAUCUAACUUAUCAGCAAAUAAUUAGUUAUAAUUUGGUACAUCAAAGGAUGUUAAGGAAUUUUUAGAUGUUUUAAAAAGCCUUGUGUAAAAACCUUCUUAAAUAUAAAAUAUUUUUAUUAUUAGAAUAUUUUUUAUAUUACUUAUUUUAUUUAUCUUCAAUAAUAAGAAUAAAUCACUUAUUAGAGCUUAGUCAAUAUAUUAAAGCUAAAAUUUCUAUAGCUAGAUAUCCAGUAUAUUUUUAAAUAAAAAAUCAUGCUAUAUAACAAUAUCAAAGGUCAUGCCUUGCAUCAAUUUAUGCUUCUAAUUUUAUGCAAUGGGAUUAUGACAUCAAUUGGGAUGAACAAGUUCUUAUGAGCCAAUUCUAUUAGAAACUAAGGGAUGAUAUAUAAGACCUAUUACUAUCAUUAUCUGAUUUUGAAAUACUCAAGGAAGCUAUUAUCAAAGUUGUAAAGUACAAUAAUUGAUUAUUUCAAUGCUAUCAAGAUCAAUGCUAUUGUAUUACAAGAAUUCUUGCUUGAGAAUCCAUUGGGCAUCUGGUUAUAGAAGGUAGAAAAGAAAUUGCAACAACAAGAUCCUAAUAACUCUAAUAGAAUCUUAAAUAAACUCCAAUUAAACCUUAAUAAUGCUAAUCAAGCUUUAAUAAAAUCCAAAAGAAAACUUUAAAAAAUUACAAAAAAAACAUGAAGAAAUCCUAAAGAAUUUCUAAAGAAAUUAUAUAGAAAUCAUAAAGAAAUAAUAUGUAGACCUUAAAGAAAUCCAAAAGAAAUUUACAUGAAAUCAUAAAGAAAUAUUAGAAAAAUCUUAAAUAAAUCUCAAAUAAAUCCUAAUCAAAUUCUAUUUUAAUCCUAAUUAAAAUCCUAAUAGAUCUUAAUUAAAUUCUAGAUCAAAUCUUAAGUAAACUUUAAAUCUUAAACCAAUUCUUAUACAAAUUUUAAAUCCUAAAUCCUAAAUCAAACCUUAAACAAGUCUUAAAUCCUAAAUAAAUUCUAAAUCCUAAAUUAAAUCUUAGAUAAAUUUGAAAUCCUUAUCCAAAUCCUAAACAAAUCCUAAAUCCUAAAUCCUAAAUAAAAUUCUAAAAAAAUCCUAAAUCCGAAACCAAAUUCUAUACAAAUUCUAAGUCCUAAAUAAAUUCUAGAUCCUAAUCAAAUCCUAUACAAAUCUAAAUCUUAAUCAAAAUCUAAUCAAUUCAAAUCAAUCGUAAUGUAGAUUAGAAUCCCAAUAUCUAUUAAUUAAAUCUUUGAUAUUACUUAAAAAUUUAUAUACCUCUCAAAUUCUUACUUAAAAAUAAGUACAACAAAUUUGAAGAUAAUCGCACCUACCAAAUAGAAGAAAAUCCUAAAAUCUACUAUGGUAUUGACCAAUCUCAUACUCUAAUCUAAAUAUUGAAUUUCUAGUGCCAAUAUCUCUCUUUUGAACCAUUGAAUUUCUCCCAAAAUUCACUUAAAAUAUUGUAAAUGAAGUCUAGUCUCUACGCACAAAAAAAAUUCACUUCAAUCCAAUUGACAAAUUCCUAAAGAACUUAAAAAUAUUCAUUGAUCCUCAAAUUCUAAUUUUUGAGACCUCAACCCACAAAAACUUGCACACAUUAUGAUCUAAUUGUUUAAUUAACUUCAAAAUUUUCAUAUACAUUUACAACUAGUAUAGAAAUAUUUUUCUCAAAAUUUACUUAUAUAUACAUUAUAGAACUCAAGAAAUCCUCAAAUAUAUAAAUAUUAUUUUAUUUUUUAAAAUCUAAACCAACCAAAAAUAUCACUAUCUUUGAAAAUCCUUCCAAAACUAAAUAUUCAGUUAAUUGAUACAAAAUAAAUACUUAAAAAUCUCUUUGUAAAUUUUCUAUCAAGUUUCAUUCUCUAAUCUACCAAAAAAUCAUAGAGUCAUUAUAGCUACUUGGUUUUGUGCCUUAGGAUUUGAUUUCAACUUAGGUUGACAAUUAAUCCUUUCUAGCUAUCAAUUCUUAACUUUUUGAGGUAAACUUUGCUAAAAUCUAUUCUUAACUCAUUCCUAAAUAUAUUUAUAUUAUUUUAUUUUCUAAUCUACUUUUUUUUGCCUUAUUUAUAGUUCUAUAAGGUAAAUAGAAGCCUAUAUUUUUAAUAAAAUAGUAAUAGUAUCUUUUAAUUUUAUUAUCUUUUUGACUAUUACCUAUUUUCUAAGAUAAUUUGUUACAAUAUUUUAAAAUAAAAUCUUCUAUAAUAUAAUUUUUUUUUCUUUCUUUCAUUCAUUAGUCGUGUUACUUUAUAACAAUGCUUGUGGAAUUUAAUAAAGUAAUAUAUUAAAAAUUCAUACUUUGUUAUUUCAACAAAUAUAUUAUGUCCACACUCUAGACUUGACAAUAUGCAAAUUGAUGUAGUACAAUUGAAACAUCUUACAAUAGAAGAAAAAAAUUAUCAAUUUCAACAAGGCCUAUACUUAUAUUAUGAUAAAGAAGGUUACAAAUUUGGAAAUUUUCUAUAGAAACAAUAUACAUCCAAGACUAGGAGUGCAAUCAUUCACAAAAAUAAAGAGGCCUAAUCACAAUAGGAAUUGUAUGAUUGGACAUUUUAACACCUUAAAUUCAUCAAGGUCCCUCUUUCAUUAUCUAACCUACUUUUUGUUUUAAUAUAUCCUUAUUUCUUGGCCAAAAAAAACUUCAAACAAAUGCCUUAUUAGAUUUAAGAGCAUCUGAUUGCUUUUUAGAUGAAGAAUUUUUUAUACUUCAUAAAAUUCCUCUAAUAUAGAAGUCAAAACAUGUAUAUGUAGAAGUAAUAUCUGACCAGUCUUUAUCUUGUGGUAAUAUUAUCCAUAAGGCCAUAUUCCUAAAAAUAUUAUUUGAAGGCCAUAGUAAUAAAAUAAUAUUCAAUAUUAUUAGAAUUCCAUCCAAUCCUAUUAUUUUAGGAUUUUUGUGGUAUAAAAGAUAUAAUCCAUCUAUAGAUUGGAGGUAUCAUAAGAUUAAUUUUCCUAUAGAAUUCCUUUGAGUAAAACCUAUCAAAAAGUCAUCAACAACAAAGUUUUUAUUUUAAAGAGCAAGGGCUUUUAUGAAGAUAGUUAAGAAUAAAAUGCCAUUUGCUAUCUAUGUAAUUCUACUUGGAAAAGAAAUAAGCCUAUCAGUAGCUAUCUCAAAGCAAUAUAAAGAAUUUCAAGGUGACUUUGAAAAAAAAAAAUACUGACAUACUAUCGAAACAUUGAUUGUAUGUUUAUACCAUUGAUCUUCAACAAGAGGCUCAACCACCAUUUGGUCUAAUCUAUAAUUUAUUAUAGAAUAAGCCCUUAGCAUUAAAAGAUUACAUUAAUGAAAAUCUUGCAAAAGAACUUUAUUCAUCAUUCCAAAUUUUCAAUUGGUGCAUCGAUACUUUUUAUAAAGAAAAAAAAUGGAUCUUUGUAAAUGUCUAUUGAUUAUGACAGCCUCAAUAAAUUAAUAGUGAAAAAUCAUUAUUCAUUACCAUUGAUAUUAGAGCUUUUGAAAUAACUCAAUUAAGCUAAGAUCUGUACCAAAAUAAAUCUCUCUAGAAUAAACAAUGUAGUGUGGAUUAAAAAAAGACAUAAAUAAAAGACAAUAUUUCAGACAAGAUAUGCAUAUUAUGAAUAUAAUGUCAUGCCUUUUAGAUUGAUAAAUGCUCCAGCUAUACUUCAACAAUUGAUGAAUGAUGUUUUUUGAAAAUACAUAGAGAAGCUUGUUAUUUGUCAUCUUGAUGAUAUCUUAAUCUACUCCAAGAUUCUUGAAGAAAUGAAGAAUAUGUAGAAUUAAUCUUGUAAAAGUUAUAAGAUACAAGAUUAUAUGCCAAAUUUAAAUAUAUAUAUAUAUAUAUAUAUAUAUAUAUAUUCUAUCAAUUAAAAGUAAUUUUUUUUUGGAUAUAUUAUAUCCAAUAAAGGCUUAUUGAUGGACCCAAAGAAAAUUCAAGUUAUAACAAAGUAGGCAAUCCUAAAGACAAUAUGGAAUGUAUUAUAUUUCCUUGGAUUUACUAAUUUUUAUCAAAUAUUUAUUAAGAAUUACUUCAAAGUUAUUGCUCGUCUUACUCGAUUGAUAUUCAAAGAUAAAUUGAAAUAGAGAUCUCAAGCACUAAAGGCUUUUCAAGAUUUAAAGGUAGCUUUUACUAUAAUUCUAAUUUUAUUACUUCCAAAUUUUAUAAAGGCUUUUUAUUUAGAAACUAAUACUUCUGACUUUGCAUUAGAAGUUGUAUUAUUAUACAUAGGAAAAUAUAGGAAGCUUUAUCUAUUUAUAUUCUAUUUUAGAAAGUUUUUAGCUAUAGAAAUCAAUUGUGAAAUUUACAAUAAAGAGUUUCUAGCAAUUGAAGACUCUUUUUAAGAAUGGAAUCACUUAUUGGAAGGUGCUAUACAUCUUGUGAUUACAUAUACAGAUUAUAAGAAUUUAAAGAAUUUCAUAUUAGCUUGGAUUUUGAACUACUACUAAGCUCAUUGAAAUAUGUCAUUACUUUGUUUUGAUUUUGUGAUUACAUAUUGAUCAAGAAAGUAACAAAGACUAUCAGAUAUUAUCAUAUGGCAUGAUUUUUUAUUUGAAAAUAUAUUAGGUACCUAGCUAUAGAGAAUUUAGGUAUAACUUAUUGAACAAGCUCUAAUAAGUGAUGUAUUCUUAUUAUAGAGGCCAAAAAAAUACAAUAGUAUCAAGAGAUAUUUUAUUGCUAAAAUACUUUAAUAUUUAAAAAGCUUUAUAUAUAAAGCUUUUUAAAGCAUUUAAAAAUAUCAUAACAUCUUUUUCUAUAUCAAAUCAUAACUAAAUAUUUUUUGGUGACUUUGAUUUCCCAUAAGUUCAAAGUAAAUCUAUAAUCCUCUUAUAAAAAUCCAUCUUUAUAUUAUAAUUUUUUUAUAGCUCCAUAUCUUCAUCUUUAAUAUAUAUAUAAAUUCUUAGCUCCAAAAAAUCCCUUUAUUUUGUAUAAAAUACCCAAAUUUUAGCAAUACCCUUUCAAAAUAUUUUUCUCCCACAAAAGAUUUCUCUCUCUAAAUUUAAGAAAUUCAUAACUCUUGAUCCAACUAUUCAAUUUUUUUUCAAAUUUUUAGUCAAUAUAGAAUUUUUCUUUAAGUUUUACUAUAAAAAAGAUAAAUUUUAAAUCUAUUACAUAUUAUUUGGCAUCUUAGAAAUCCUAAUAGGUGCUCUAAACUCUAAUUUACAAGCAUUUGAGUACUAUUUUCUCUAUAUCUCAAAAAUCCAAGAUUCAAAUGCCACAAAAUCUGUGUAUGAAUUUAAUAACAUAAUAAUACAUAAUUUUUUUUAAAAAAUAGCUAAAAUCUUGUUAAAUUACUUAAGAUAUAGCUCAAAAUAAAACCACUAGUAAAUUGGGUCACUUACUACCCUUAGAUUAUAAGUGUUGACUUCAACUUUCUUUAAAUCCUUUAUCCCAACUUAAAAUCAUCAAGAAAAAUAUGAAAAGUAUAGGAAAAAAAUCAUUUUUUUAAUCCCAAUGGCCAAUCCUUCAUUACUUUUUGAAUGCAUGUUGUCGUAAUACGUAAAGACUUCCUUGAGAAUACAUUAAACACUUGGCUGUGAAAAGUAGAAUAGAAAUUGUAACAACAAAAUCUUAAUUGUAAUAGAAUACUAAAUAAAUUUUAAUUAAAUCAUAAAAAUACUAAGCAAGCUUUAAUCAAAUUCAAAAGAACCUUAAAGAAAUUAUAAAUGAAAUAAUAAGAAAUAUUAAAGGAGUUCAAAAUAAAUCCAAAAUAAAUCUUAAAAGAAUCCUUAAAAAAUCCUAAAGAAAUCUUAGAAUAAUUACAAAUAUAUCUUAAAUAAAUCUUAAUCAAAUUCCAAUUUAAUCUCAGUUAAAAUUCUAAUGGACUUUAAUCAAAUCCUAUGCCAAAUCCUAACUAAAUCUUAAAUUUUAAACCAAAAUCUACACAAAUUUCAAAUCUUGGAUAAAUUCUAGAUCAUAAACCUAAUCCUAAUCAAACCCUAAAUUCUAAACUAAAUCCUAAUCAAAUCCUAAUCAAAUUCUAAUCAAAUCUUAAACUCUAAACUAAAUCAUAACCAAAUUCUAUACAAAUUCCAAAUCUUAAUCAAAUCCUAAAUCCUAAAUUUUAAACCAAAUCCUAACCAAAUUCUACAUCCUAAAUCAAAUCUUAGAAAAAUCUUAGAUUCUAAAUCAAAUCUUAAUCAAAUCUUAAAUUCUAAAUCAAACCCUAAUCAAACCUUAACCAAAUCCUAAGUCCUAAACCAAAUCCUAAGAUAAUUUAGAAUCUCAAAAUCUUUUGAUUAAACCAUUUAUCUUGUUCAAAAUUUUAUACACCUCUCAAUGUCUUAGUUAUAAAUAUAUACAACAAAUUUGAAGACAAUCGAACUUACCAAAUAGAAGAAAAAUCUUAAAAUCUGCUCAAAUAUUGGCCAGCCUCUUUUUCCAAUCUUGAUGCUCAUUUUUUAGUGCUAACAUCUUUCCUUUGCAUCAUUCAAUCGAUCUCAAAAUUCUUAUAUAUAUAAGAAAAUAAGUCUAAUACCCACAUACAUAACUUUCACUCCAAUUCAAUUAAUAGAUUAGAAGAACUCUUUAAAAUCCUUAUUAAACCUAAAAUUCUACUUUUCAAGACUCCAAUCUACUUAAACCUCUAUAAUCUUCAAUUCAAUCAUUAGAUCAAGCUAAAAUUCACAAUAUAUAUUAAGUACAAAUAUAACCAAUAAUUCACAAAAUUUCACCUACAGAUCUAUUCCAAAAUUUCUGAAAUUGUGCAAAACGUCAACCAUAUUUUAUUGCACAAAAAUCCAAAUCAUCUGAAAUAAUCUUGAUUUUAUAAAGCUCUUACAAAAACAUUACAAAUCCAAAUUAUACAAAACCAAUGUUCAUAGAAACCCUAUCAAGUUUUCUCUUAAAUCUUAUUCUUUGAACUACAAAAGAACCUUGAAGUUAUUGUAGGUGUGUGGUUUUGUGCCUUGGGGUUUGAUUUCAACCCAAGUUGACAACCAGUCCUCUCUAGAUAUCAAUUCUUAGCUUUAUGAGGUAUAUUUCUAAGAUAAUUUGUUAUAAUAUUAUGAAUUAAGAUCUUCUAUAAUAUAAUAAUUUCUAUACUCUUUCAUCUAUUAGCUGUGUUACAUCACGACAACGCGUUAUAUCCAAAAGACUGACAGUAGCUACAAAAUCAACACCUUAACUUUGAGCACCUAUAUUUCUUUCAUAAAAGCUCCAAAUCACACAAAAUUUAUAUCAAAAUUAUAGCAAAAAAUCUAAACUUUGUGAUCCUAACCUUUUAAGUCCAAAUAGAUUCAAAAGAAUAAUCCUAAUUCCUAAUAAGGCCUCAAGCAACCUCCUUAAAGUCCAUUGGACAUGAAUUUUGGCCAAUAAGAAUGGAGAUUUCCAUCAUCCAUGUCCAUUCAUCCAUAUAGAUGCCCUCACUAUUCUUUUUGCUAUCAAAAUCCCUCUUCAAAUCUUUUUCUUAUAGAUCUAUAUAAUAUAUGCCUUAAACACCAAAUAAAAAUAAAUAAAGAUAAAAAGAUUUUAAGAGUCACCAAUGCCUAAUAAAAGUUUCUCUAAACAUACAAAACUAUUAUCAACAUAAAAUCAAUGUCAAUAGUAGUCCUUUUAAAUUAACCACUUUAAAGUAGUAAUCUAAUCACAUUUUGUAAUCAACUAAAAUCUAAUAAUAUGGCUCUUACUAUAUUAUAUAUUAAAUUAUAUAUUAUAUAUUAUAUAUUCAUUAUUUUUAUAUGGUAGCCAAACUGCAACACAAUAAUGCAUUAUCAAAGAGAUCAUAUCUUAUUUUUAAGGCCAAAGAAGCAACAUUUUAUCAGCAACAUGUCAUUCUUUUGAAGCCAAAAUAAUUUUGUUUAUGUGCUACUUCUAUGAUUAUAUCUGUUGAUUCAAAUUUUCUUGAACAAAUUUGUGUAGCAUGAGGUAAAAACUCAUUAGUUUGUAAUAUCAAGUAGUGCUCUUACAAUGAUAAGUUCAAGUUUGUGAAAGAACUUUUUUAUUUUGAAGAUUAUUUAUAUAUAUUCUAGAAAGACCAAUACAACUUCAUAUUCUUCAAUCUCAUCAUGAUUUUUUAGCUGUAAGACAUUUUGAUAUUAAUUAGAGUUUAUUUCUCAAGAUUUUUAGUGGCCUCAAAUGUAGAAGAUUGUGAAGGACUUAAACCUCUUGUGUGAUAUUUAUUUAAGAUUCAAGAAUUCUUGACAUCAUCCUUAUAAACUUCUAUGCCUAUUACCAAUCUUGAAGUAACUAUGGUCUUUAAUAUCAAUAGAUUUUAUCACCAAUUUGUUACCAAGAAUUAUAUUUGAUGCUAUUUAUGUAAUUUUGGAUUAACUUAUAAAGAUGGUAUAAUUUUUUUAUACAAAAAAAUAAAAAAUAAAAAAUAAAAAAAUAGAGAAAAAAUAGCAAGAUCCUUUUUUGAUAAUAUAUAUCGACAUCAUGGCCUACCUAAUGACAUCAUUUUUUAUCGAAGAACUUAAUUUAUAUCAAAUUUUUAGAAAUCAUUUUUUGAGAUAUUGAAGAUUGAUAUCUAACUUUUCUUUGUCUUUCAUCUUCAAACAUAUGGUCAAAAAAAAUAAGUCAAUCAAGUUUUGGAGUAGUAUUUGUAAUGUACCAUUAACUAUUAAUAAGAUGAUUGGACCUUAUAUUUAUUUUUAGUAAAUUUUUCUUAUAAUAAUAUUAUUCAUGCUUUGAUUCAAUAAACACUAUUUUACUCUAAUUAUGAUUACCAUCUAAAGCUUGAUUUGUUUGAUAUAUCAAAGAAUGGAAAUCCAAUAGUUAAAGAUUUUGUAAAAUAAUUGUCACAGCUCCACACAACUUUGAAGCUCCACUUACAAGUAGCUCAAGUUUCUUAUAAAGCAUCUUUAAAUGAAUUUAGAAAAUAACUUCUUCAUUUUUAAGUUGAAAAUAAAGUAUGGCUUCUUCAACUAAAUAUCAAGACCAAUUGACCUUGCAAUAAGUUAGAUUAUCAAAGACUAGGACCAUUUUGUAUUAAAAAAAAAAUCAAUAUAUUGGCUUAUCAAUUGGAACUACCCACAUCUAUAAAGUUAUAUCCAAUCUUUCAUGUUUCUCUCUUAGAGGCUUAUUUAGAAUCAAUUAUUAUAGAAAGAAUACAACCAUCAUUGCCUUGCUUUGAAAUAGAUAAUCAUGUGAAACAUGAGAUAGAAAAGUUCCUUAAUUUUCAACAAAAAAGAGGCAAGUUAGAGUAUUUUAUUCAUUGGCUCGGCUACAAUAUCAAUAAGCAUAUAUAGGAAUCAAUAGUAAAUUUAAUUAAUGUACCAAAAAAGAUACAAAAGUUUCAUCAAUGCUAUCCUUACAAAUCAAAACCUAUUUUACAAUGACUUUUCCAUCAAGCUACCAUAAGGAUGUUGUAUAUACCAAAGAAAACAAAUAUAAAAUCGAUGCUCCUUGUGGAACUCAGAGUUAGAAGAAGACGUGAUACAGACAUCCAAUAAGAAGAUUUAUAAAUAUUCUUAGAAUAUUCUAAAAGAUUAUAUAAGAUUCUAAAAGUUUUUAAAAAGAUUUUUAAAAGAUUCUUAAAAUAUUUUAAUAGGUUCUAGAAAGUUCUACAAAAAUUAAAUAAGUUAUUUGAAAAAAAAUAUUAGAAGUGCUUUAUCUUCAAACAACAUGGAAACUUCUUAUAAAGCUUUUUAAAAUUGCUUCAUAUUCAAAUAACAUGGAAAAUUCUUAUAAAGCUUCUUAAGAUUGCUUCAUUUUCAAAUAACAUGAAAACUUCUUGAAAAUCUUUCUAAGACCUCAUAUAUAUAGGAAUCAAGGCUAAAGAGAUUCUCAGUCUCAAUAAUACACCUCUUAGAACUCUAGCUCACCUUCUUAGUAUUGAUUUUGUAUUCAUCUACUUUAAUCAAGUUCUUAUUAAAUUUCAUAUUGAAACUUUUUGGCUCAACUUUUUAUUUGGUCUUAUAUAUAAUGUAUCCAUGAUAGAAACUAAUCACAUAGAUGGAAGCUUUUAUUGAACUUAUUUGAUACUAUUUGCUCUCUUUAUGAUAGUAAAAGACUGUACAUUCACAACUUAUUUUAGAUUUUUUCCACUAUAUUGAAAUUGCUGCUUACCAACUUAUAACAAUUUAAAGGUAUAUUUCUUACAAUCUCUUGUCAAAGUAUAAUCUUUUAAUUUGAGUCAUUUAAGGCAUAUAUAUUUGAGAGGCCUAGAUUACAUCUUAGUAGUCUAUUCAACAAAAUCCAUAGUAUCCUAUUAUUCAUGAAUGUUCCAUGUUUAACCACCAAUGAGACCAAUUUUUUGUAUAAUAAUAUACAAAUGCUCAUUUUUCUUAUACCAAUAAUACCAAAUGCUCAUCUAUAUUGAAAUCAAUCUCUACUUCAAUUAUUUAACUUAUAGGUUGUGGCUAUAAGCUUUUUUCAAGUACCUUAGUCUAAUCACCACAAAAUUUAUGCUCUUGAAGGCUAUUACAUGCUUCAAAAAUUACAUAUGCAUGUCAUGGCCUUGUCAUAGGCUACAAAAUUAUAUAUAUUUUUUUUGUAACAUAUGAAGAAGGUUUAAUUGAUUUAAUGGCCUUAAUUAUUAUACUUUGAUAUUGAUCUUAGCUGUGCUAGUACUAUCUUUGCCUUAUCUUUAUCCUUUAUUGGCAUUAGAUGAUGAUAUUUGCUAUAUGACAACUUCAUUGGGACAUUCUUGUAUAAGGCUCUUGCUUUUGCUCUUGUUGCAUAAUCUAUUAGAUGUUGAAGAUAUUAACUAUUGUGCUUCUAGCCAUUUUGCUUAAUGUUCAUUAAAAUAAGUUUGUGUAAAUGCUAUUAGAUUGAUGGAUGAAAUGUUGAGAUUUCUACUAGUAAUGCCAAUCUUUGGCCUUAAGCCACUAAUGAAUUGCAUGAAGUCCAAAGUUGACUAAUUUUUAUUGGCAUUUAUCUAUACUUCCAUGUAUAUAUUUGAUAGAGCUAUUUGUGCUACAGUAUAGUUAAUUUAUCUAUCAAACUUAUUAAUAGAUUGAAGUACUUGUAAAUAGUUAAUAUUAGAAUUCUAGUGAAUAAGACUAAAGUUUUUUUUCUUUGUCUUUGUUGUUGAUAAAUUAUUGAGUUGUGUCUAAGUUUGAUGUUCAACCUUAUGACCUUUCUUUAGAAUUUUGUUCUGAAUCAUUGGCUUAUGGCAUUGUGAUGGCUCUUUUGAGCUUCAUGUGACUAAGAAUGCUCUAAAGCUGUGGUGGCUGUCUUGUAUUUUUUUUCUUUUUUUUAUUAAAAUAAAGUCAUCCUCAUUUAGAAUACUAUCAUUACCUUGUACUCUCUUAUUGUGUCUUAUAGGCUCUUAUCUUGUGUUAUGUAAGUGACCUCCAUAUUGUCUAUAUCAAUGUAGGCAGUCUUUCACCAUGUGAUCUAUUACAAAAUAAUACAUGCAUCUUAUUAGAAGGUUAGCAUAAUCUAUUAAGUCUUUAAUUGUUUUUCCAAUCAUUGAAUCAUCAAUUUUUAGCUUAAUCUUCCAAUCCCAACUUAACUCAAUUGCUACACAAAACCUAAAUGCUAUAAUUAUUAUUAGAAUUCAUUCUUAGUACUCUAUCAAAGGUACCAACAAUGUUCAAUGCCAUUGUAUUAUAAUUCCAUAGGAGGUUUUUCAAUAUUAUCCAUUUGAAAAUAAACAUCCCUUUACUACUUCUCAAAUCAAACUAAGAUAACUAUUGCUAAAAAAACAUAGAUAGUAUCCAUCUCUUGGUACAAAGUUAAGAGCAAUGUUUGCAUUGCAAUCUCCUUAAUACUUGACUUGAGACAAAAGAAUUUUUUUGUAUUAGUUUGAUGGCCUUUAUUGAUCCUCUAGAGAACCUUGCAUUGAAUUUACUCAGCCAUAACAUGAAUGCAAUUGAAGUCAACUUGUUGCCUAGCAUGUUUGCUACAAUCGAAUAUUCUUCAAGAAACCUCACUUCAAAUUCUACCACUUCUACCAGACUUGGAUCUUCAUCCCUUUCUUCUUGAUCAAGAAGCUAGCAUAGUUGCAUGUAUAGAUGUCAAAGAGGCAUUCUCUCUCUCUUUUGCUUAUAGAUGAAUUAUAAUAAAAUCAAAGCAAAAUACACCAAGUAAAUCUAUUGCUAUCAAAUGAUCCAUAACCAACUCAAAGCUGUGAAAAGAAUAUAAGAAUCACUAUCUAAGAGCUAAUUGAAACCAGAUUUGCAUCAUAUUAUUGUUUGCUUAAGACUAUUGUAUAUCUUUUUUGCAUAUUAAGUGAACCCAAUAUUUGCAAAAAAUUUGUAAAAAAAAUUAGAUUAAUGAAAAGGAUGUAAGAAAUACUAUCUAAAGAGCUAAUUGAAAUGAGAUCUAUAUUUUCAGGUCAUUAUUUUCUCUUCCAGCAUCACAUUUCGUCAUUGCCAUCGCUAAAGACAACACAAUCUUUAACCAAGUUUCUCAAAUAUUAUAUCAUUAUCUUUUUCAAUGUCACCAACUUCUAAUAUACUAUUUUUGAUUAAUUUUAUGAUAAUUUCUAUGAUAGUGCUAUGAAGAUUAAAUAUGUCUUUUUUUCUUUUUUUUCUUUUUUUCUUUUUUUUUCUUUUUUUGUUAGAAUAAUCACUUUGAUAAGAUUCAAAAUAUUUCCAUUUUCAAUUGAAAUUUUUAAUUUAGUCAAGAUGUAGUGAUUUCACUUUUCCAUCUAAAUUCCUAAAAUCCCAUCAAUAUUUUAAUUGGUCUAAGUCACUUUUCUAUUACUAUAUAUGAAUUGCAUAAAUGUUGAUGAAUCAAUCAUAGUUUAAAUUUCACAAAAUUACAAUACCUUAUGAAAUAAAUAAAUAAAUGAAUAAAUAAAUAAAUAACAGAAAUGUUAAUUUGAAAUUUGAACCAAAAUGAUGUUGUGUAAUAUAAACUAUAAUAACAAUAUACUUUGAUUAGAUGGUAAGAACAUUUUGUUCUCCAAAAGAAGUAAAUAAUGCAAUAUAAAAAGUAGAAAAAUUCUUUAAAUUAUAAUAUUCAGACAUGAGUGUUGUGUUGAAUAAAACAUGUCAGAGGUGUCAGAGAUCGCAUUCAUUCUAUGAGAUGGGUUUGAAGCUUGGCACCCCAAAACAAACGCCUUUGUUGCUCCAUGCCAACCAGGUUUUACGAAAGUUGGACACCGAGAUGCAAGCCUCUCUCUAUACUUAUCUGUUCUCCCUCUCUCUCUCUAUACUUUGCUUGGGUUCGACUCUCAACGCUUGCAGAAGCAGGUGUAAGUGGAUGUAGCUUCUCUUCCUGGAGCUUGUCUUUUGCAUCUCCUUAAUUUGGCGAUGGAGUCGCCGAAGUGACCCGCAAUCGCACCGCCGCAAUGGCAGCCUUUAUAGCGAAAACAACCUCCGCAAUGAAUGACCACAGGUGGGUCCAGCUUGUCCACUUGAAUCCGCUGAUGCAGGCCUAGUUGCGAGCUUCUCCAAUCGUC
rnacentral:lncRNA from 1 species